AAGAACUGAGCCACCAGAUGAAACCCUUGGUCAAAUAAGCUAGAAAGACCAAAGUUAAGUCUGACAUCUGUGAAACGCGCGGACAUGAAGGCCCCCAUCUACAUGAAGAUUGAUCAUCGUCCUGUAGGUGACACAUUUAUUCUCAUCACUCAGUUUGAACACAAAGCAGUGCACCAGGACAGCCGAGAAGAUCUUCAUCUGCCUAUAAGCAAAUUCCUUGCCUAAACAUAUUCGAGGCCCUGCCUGUAAACCAUUAGAAAAUAAAGUUCAGUAUGUUAACACCUUUAGCCGAUAAAGUCACACUUGUGAAACAAUAUGAGAGGUUUGAACUUUCAGAAAAAGACUCAGAACCAGAAUCAAAUGCUGUUAUACUGCCUUUUUACCCUCUUUUUUUCUAUUUGAGGUUUUAUUUUACACCAAGUGCCAAUCAGAAUAAAAAUGCUUUGCCCGAUCUGCAAAAGAAGCAUACAACAAUUUCUAAUUUGCAACAUGUUCUGCAUACCUGGAAUGCUGUAAACUUAAAAGGGCUUUCUGAUUGGAACAUCCCAUCCUCAUCAAGCCAUCUCUCUGGUUUGAACUCCUCUGCAUCAUCACCCCAAAUGAAUUGCAUUCUGCCCAUUGCAUAAGGUUGAUAACAAACCAUAUCCCCUUUCCUCACACUGAACCCAUCUGGUAGAGUAUCAUCAGAGAAGCAUACCUUUGCAUCCUGCAAUCAAUGUGAAGAGAUAGUGAGAACCAAAGAACAAGGAAGCUAAUUUCUAACCUUCCAGAUACGCAUUAAAUGGAUAUCAGUUUAUAGAUGCAUGUUCUUGGAUGUACAUUAACAAGUUCAGUUGGAGGAUUCAAGAUUCAAGGCAACUUUGCUUACAACUGGAACAGCGGGGUAGAGCCUUAAUGUUUCAGUUAUGGCUGCAUGGAGAUAGUGCAUUUUUCCUAAAGCUUCUUCGCUCAAGAUAGCAGCAAAUUCAGCAUAAUCUUUAACAUCUUUCGUGUCAGUUGCUUCCUUCACUUCUUGUGCAACCUUUUCUUGAACAUCAGGAUGCUUGCAGAGCAUGUAAAUAAACCACGACAGAGUAGCUGCCGUUGUGUCUUUCCCAGCAAUUAUGAAGUUAAGGAUUAUAUCUCGCAAGUAUGUUGGAUCAGUGUCACUCACUUGUAGAAAUCUGGAUAAAAUGUCUUCCUUUUUCAUCUGCAUAAUCUGUAGAAAAUAAUAAUUUCAAUAUUCCACUUCAACAGGUAAUAUAAGUUGUUAACUAUAAGUAGCUCUACUGUUCUAGUUCACUCACUGAAGAUUCAUCCUUUGAGUUGCGCAUUUGCUCAAUCUUGUUGUGGAUCAGCUUAUACACAAAAUUAUCAACCACUUCUAUACUUUUCUUCAGUGUGGCCUCUGAUCCAAUAUUUAGAAAUCUUUUGAUCUUCCAGAAGAUAUCAACAUAUCGGAAGAGGAUUGCUGCACUUGAAUCAUCAAAAGCAGCUGUAAACUGUUUGCCUUCUAAAUUUGAUCCACACAUGCUGUCUAGUUCGACUCCAAAUGCAACUUUGAAUAUUGAAUCUAAAGUCGAUUUCAUAAACAAGUCCUGCACAAUAUAUCGUUAUAACAGAUUCAUUUUAUAUAUCACUCUGCCAUUGAUCUUGCCAUUAGGUGAACUUACCUGUAUAUCCAUUAUCUCAUUGGAAUUUGCUGCUUCAGACACUAUAGUCGCAAGUUUUGCCGCAUUUUCCCGAAAGACUACACUGCUGAAAUCUCUCAAGACCUUGGUUGAGAAUUCAUAGCUUGAUACUUUCCUCUGUUGACGCCACUUAUCACCAUCGACAGUGAAAAUCCCAUCGCCUAGUAAACCCUUUAGCAAGCUGUAAUUGUACUCACCCUGCACAAAAAAUUAAACAGAUUGGAAAACCAAAACAACUCCACCAUUCUGCCUUUUGGGUGGCCAUAUAAUUAUCAAAAGCCCUUUCAUUCCAACUAAUCACUCUGCGGCACAUUAGCAUCUUCAAUUGACUUACUUGUGGCGAGAUUGAGACCCUUUUCUUAAUCUAAUUAUGGGUGUUUCUGUCUAGGCUACUUAUACUAACCAAUCACCGGGAGAGUUCAGAAUUUUCUAGACCAACAAAUUAUUUGUGACUUUGAGGUGUGAAACGAGAGUCGGCACCAUACCUUGCCAUAAUUCUGGAAAUUUGUUUUGAGAAUAUACUCAACAUUGUCGGGUUCCGAGGUAUAAAUCUCAUUCCUGAAAGGGCUAAGCAGCCUGUAGGUCCUGUACUUCCCUGCAAGAUCAGUCAUAUAGUGAUGCAAUCUUCUGAAGUUGAGGAGCUGGUUAAAAACCGUUCCGCCAACAGGAUGGUACUUGGCCUUAUUUUUCCUCUGCCUUUCUCUUAGUUUUGCUGUGAGGAACUUGACAGUGAAAAGGGCAAGGAUUAGACUUAGAACCAAAGCUACCAAGGGAACUGGGUUAGACAGAUCCAUGGACAUGGAGGUACGUUUGGGUAAGCUGGUCUAUCAAUGUUAGGUGAAGGCUGUAUUAAACUAGAGAAGUCGGUUUUGUAAUACUAAUAAUAUCAACGGAGAGAAGUCCUUCUGCUAAGUCAUUCCUCUCAACCAAACGUGUCAUAACCUAAUUGGACGACAUUCGGACAAGCCCUAAACGUGGUUCUCUCGAAUUUCACAAGGUGAUCUUUUUGAAAAUUGGUAAAAAAUUACUAAUAAACUUCACCACAGCCAAGUAACAAAACAAAGGGCCAUACUUGUUAUUUCCUUAGUUAUGAUGAUAAAGAACAUACAAAUCUCUUCUAAUUGGUUAUUCUAUAGUUAAGUAAAGAGAAUGAUUUUUGAAUUUAAUUCUUAAAUAAGAAAAUACGUGUAUUUAUCAUGUUAAAUUUAAUACUCAAAUGAAAAAUUAAUUAGAAUUUUAUUUCGGAGCAUAUGAUACAAUCAAGUAACUUAAGUACAAAGAUGAUUAAGCUUGGCAAACAAGGAUAUGUCAUGUUUCUCAAUCCGAGAGAUAAGAAGCACAGAGCCAAAGGCCCUGCAAAAAGGCAGGGGAGAACUGAAUUGUUGUUUCCUAAAACUUUGCAUUAAGAUCAACAUGACUUUCUAGUCAUUAAAUAUUCUGCUAGAUUUCGAACUUGCAAAUAUGGUCUGUUUUAAUGAAAUUGCAGAAUGUUGUCUCACGUCUCAAGAACUUUGAUUUCACUUCUUUUUCAAGGAAAAAAAAAUGGUUUCACUUAGUUUGCAGAAGUGUCCUGAACUCAAUUUUCAGACAAAAGUAUGGUUCAAGACUCCUUGGUGAGUGAAAGUAAUUCUUCAUCAUAUUUAUUCCUUUAUUUUUCUUUUUGGAUAUCAUUGUAUUUAUUCUUGUGCAAGGACAAGUACAUGCAUACUCAAACCUUGCAAUUGCCCAGCAUACAGAACUGAGCCAACAGAUGAAACCCGUGGUCAAAUAGGCAAGAAAGACUAAGUCUGACAUCUGGGAAAUGCGCGGACAUGAAGGCCCCCAUCUACAUGAAGAGUGAUCAUCGUCCUGUAGGUGACAGAUUUAUUCUCAUCACUCAGUUUGAACACAAAGUAGUGCACAAGAACAGCCGAGAAGAUCUUCAUCUGCCUAUAAGCAAAUUCCUUGCCUAAACAAAUUCGAGGCCCUGCCUGUAAACCAUUAGAAAAUAAAGUUCAGUAUGUUCACAUCUUUAGCCGGUGAAAUCACACUUGUGAAACAAUAUGAGAAGUUUGAACUUUCGGAAAAAGACCCAGAACCAGAAAUCAAAUGCCGUUAUACUGAUUUUUUACCCUUUUUUCCUAUUUGAGGUUUUAUUUUACACCAAGUGCCAAUCAGAAUAAUAAUGCUUUGGCCGAUCUGGAAACGAAGCGUACAAGAAUUUCUAAUUUGUAGUAUGUUCUGCACACCUGGAAUGCUGUAAACUUAAAAGGGCUUUCUGGUUGGAACAUCCCAUCCUCAUCAAGCCAUCUCUCUGGUCUGAACUCCUCUGCAUCAUCACCCCAUAUGAAUUUCAUUCUGCCCAUUGCAUAAGGUUGAUAACAAACCAUAUCUCCUUUCCUCACACUGAACCCAUCUGGAAGAGUAUCAUCAGAAAAGCAUAUCUUUGGAUCCUGCAAUCAAAGUGAAGAGGUAGUGAGAACCAAAGAAAACCCCAGAACAUAGAAAGGAAGCUAAUUUCUAGCCUUCCCGAUACGCCUUGAAUGGAUAUCAGUUUAUAGAUGCAUGUUCUUUGAUGUGCAUUAACAAGUUCAGUUGGAGGAUUCAAGAUUCAAGGCAACUUUGCUUACAACUGGAACAGCGGGGUAGAGCCUUAAUGUUUCAGUUAAGGCUGCAUGGAGAUAGUGCAUUUUUCCUAGAGCUUCUUCGCUCAAGAUAGCAGCAAAUUCAGCAAAAUCUUUAACCUCCAUCGUGUCAGUUGCUUCCUUCACUUCUUGUGCAACCUUUUCUUGAACAUCAGGAUGCUUGCAGAGCAUGUAAAUAAACCACGACAGAGUAGCUGCUGUUGUGUCUUUCCCAGCAAUUAUGAAGUUAAGGAUUAUAUCUCGCACGUAUGUUGGGUCAGUGUCAUUCAAUUGCAGAAAUCUGGAUAAAAUGUCUUCCUUUUUCAUCUGCACAAUCCGUAGAAUACAAUUAUUUCAAAAUUCUACAUAGAAACCGUUAAUUAUAAGUAGCUCUAUUCUUCUAGUUCACUCACAGAAGAAUCGUUCGAGUUACGCAUCUGCUCAAUCUUGUUGUGGAUCAGCUUAUACACAAAAUUAUCAACCACUUUUGUACUUUUCUUUAGUUUUGCUUCUGAUCCAAUAUUUAAAAAUCUCUUGAUCUUCCAGAAGAUAUCAACAUAUCGGAAGAGGAUUGCUGCGCUUGAAUCAUCAAAAGCAGCUGUAAACUCUUUGCCUUCUAAAUUUGAUCCACACACGCUGUCUAGUUCAACUCCAAAUCCAACUUUGAAUAUCGAAUCUAAAGUCGAUUUCAUAAACAAGUCCUGCACAACAUUUCGCUAUAACAGGUUCAUAUUAUAUAUCACUCCGUCAUGGAUCUUGCCAUUAGGUGAACUUACCUGAAUAUCCAUUAUCUUGUUGGACUUCGCUGCGUCAGACACUAUAUUUGCAAGCUUUGCUGCAUUUUUCCGAAAGACUACAGUGCUGAAAUCCCUCAACACCUUCGUUGAGAAUUCAUAGCUUGACACUUUCCUCUGUUGACGCCACUUAUCACCAUCGACUGCGAAAAUCCCAUCACCUAGUAAACCCUUUAGCAAGCUGUAAUUGUACUCACCCUGCACAGAAAAUUAGACAAAUUGAAAAACCAAAACGACCCCACCAUUCUGCCGUAGCCAUAUAAUUAUCAAAAACUCUUUCGUUAUAGCAAAUAACCCUGCAGCACAUUAGCAUUUGUAGUUGACUUAAUUGUGACUAUAGAUUGAGACACUCUUUCAUAUUCUAAUUCUGGGUGUUACUGUCUAAGCUACUUCUUCCAACCAAUGACAGGGGGAGUUCAAAAUUUUCUAGACCAACAAAUUACCUUGCCAUAAUUCUGGAAAUUUGUUUUGAGAAUAUAUUCAACGUUGUCUGGUUCCGAGGUAUAAACCUCACUCCUGAAAGGGCUAAGCAGCCUGUAGUUCCUGUACUUCCCAGCAAGAUCAGUCAUAUAGUGAUGCACUCUUUUGAAGUUGAGGAGCUGGUUAAAAAGUGUUCCGCCAACAGGAUGGUACUUGGUCUUGUUUUUUUUCUGCUUUUCUCUUAGUUUUGCUGCGAGGAACUUGACAGUGAAAAGGAUCAGGAUUAGAUUUAGAAACAAAGCGACCAAUGUAGCUGGGUUAGACAGAUCCAUGGAGAUGGAGGUCCUUUUUGGGUAAGCUGGUCGAUCAAUGUUAGCGGGUGAAGACUGAAGAAAACUAGAGGUCUUUUUAUAAUACUAAUAAUAUCAACGGGGAGAAAUCCUUUUGCUAAGUCAUUUCUCUUAACCAGACGUGUGACUAUAUUCGGACAAUCCGCAAACGUGUUUCUCUUAAAUUUUACGUGCACAUUGCUGAGAGUCCAACCAUGAGAGAGAUAUGCACCGACUUUCCUUCGUUGUCUCCUUUUUCGUUUUUAAAUUGUUAUAAGUUAUUAACUAAUUUCACCACAACCAAUUAACAAAACAAAGGGCAGGACUAGGUUUUUUUUUACUCAGUCAAUAUAACUAUUUAGAGAAAAUUGUGAAAAAUAACUCAUAAGGUGAUUUCAAAAAUAAUUAUCCAUAUAAUGUUAUCUGUUUUUACCAAAAAACAAACAUGAGUAAACCAAAAUGCUCUCAGAAACAUCCUGGCAAAUCAAUCUCCUAAUAUCUCUCUCGCUGUAAAGAAAAUAAAUACUCAGUUAUUUCAGCUCGCUCAACUCUUUCAGCUCUCUAAAUUAUAUCAGCUUUGUCAACUCUCUGUUAAGUACCAUCGUCAUCAACUCUCUUAGCUAUUUGAACUGUAUCAUCUAUAUGUACUUAUUAAAGAUAUAAAUUAAAGAAUAUAAAAGAAAACGAAGUAAAUGAAUAAUUGAAAAGACAAGUCGAGCCACUAAUUACUACAAUGAUCACUGUCUGAUCACGACAGCUAAAGCCACUGCAAUUGCUCGGCCAAUAAAGUUGACAAACUUUGUUGAAAUAGGACUUGCAUUGAAAAUCACGUCAGUUCAUACUAUCUUAGGAUCAUAUGUGACCAUUUUGUAUAAGCUAGCUUUCUUUCAAAUUAUGAUAACUAUGCAUUUAAUGAAUGAUUUAUAUGAUGAUUAGUAUGCAUUCUUAGGCCUAGCUACUGUUCAAAACUUAGUUGUUAAGUUUUGUUAUGUAUAUAAACUAAGUCAAUGCAUAUCAGAAAUAUGAAACCUACUGUUACAACAAAAACUGUCUUUACUUGCUCUGUUUCAUACUUAUCCUACAUCAACUAAAACACAACAAAACUUACUAAAUAAAGCAAUCUAUAUACCAACAAUGUCUUGGAAUUUAGCAAGUUUUAGUUUGUCCUCUUGGAAUGACAUAGAGGUCGAGGCCAUGCUGGAGGGUGAAGCCACAACAUGGUCCUAUCGUCUGCCAAGUUGAAGCGAAAGUAGUGAAUAAGGGAACUUUGUUGAGAUUUUCUUUAUCUGCUCAGAAGAAAUUAAGAAAAAAUUAUAUGGUGUAGAUACUUGAUUUUGAUUUUGAUUGUUAACAUAUUUCUUCAAUAUAAAGUAAAAUUAAUUUAUAAAACGUUGUAUUACUAUGUAAGAAGUAGUGUAGAUAAUUUAUAAUAAGUAGAAAAAUCACGUCAUUGUAUAAACUAGUGAAAAUAUCUUCGAAAUAAAUGAUGAGAUUUUUAAAUUAAUUUUUUUAAAAUGUUUUGAAGAGUUUGAUUUGAUAACUUAAAUACAUAAAUGAAAAUUUUCUAAAUACGUAUGCAUAAAAUCCACUAUCACCAUCAAUGACCUAAACAUUCAUAAGGCUUUAAUGCCUCAACAGUUGACAUUUUCUCAUUGGUAUGAAUAAAUUUCAUUAAUUACAAGAUUACUCAAUUCCAUAACCCUUCAAGAUAUUUUCUCAUUGAUUGUGUUCGAUUUGAUAAGGAUGUUAAUUUUUUUUUUUGAAUUACAAAUAUUUUUCAUUUUUUUAAAUAAUUAAGUGACGCACUUCUAAUGCCUCAGUAGCUGACAUUAAUUAUCCAUUGGUUGCAUUCACUUUGAUUCGGAGCUAAUUAACAACCGAAAAGUUGGCCGAUGUUUGCCGACUUGGAUUUAAUGGUCAUAUGAGUUGGUGUAACAAUGUGAUACCAAAAAGGUAGUAAUCAAUACAAAUUUUGAGUAGGAAGAGUACUGCAUUCAAAUGAAAUCAAGAAGAAGAUUGUGGAGAAAACUCUCAUUUAAUGGAAGAACAUGACUGCCAAAUACGAGUACCUAAACAUGGUUUGGCAAUUGCCAUCAUCCUAUGCAUCCCUAGGUUACUUAACUGAUUGAUGUAAUUCAUUGAAUAAAAUGGUUAGUUGUUAUUAUCAUGUCAUGUCAUCGUCAUGAUAUUUCUUCCUCUUUUGUGAGUAAUGAGAUUUUUGAAGGAUGGAGAUGACUCUACCUAAAUUCUUAGAUUUUUUUGUUGCUUAUUUUCAUUGUAUUUUGAGUUUUUGACUGUGUCUAACUGUUUAUCUUUUGCAAAGCCAUUUUUUCACCUUAAUUUCAACCCAGCAUCUGUGUGUUGUCCGAUGGGUUAGAAAAUGGGCAAGUUUGAUUGGUGGUUGAUUCCUUUUCUUCAGCAUUUUGGUAACUUGGGCCUAUAAAAUUUAUUUAUAGUAGACAAAAAAAAACUUUUAUUAAAAAAUAUUAUAGUAAAUAUUUGUUUCUUUUCGGAUAAUUGACUUUUAUUUAGCUAAGGAAUAUUUUAUUUGAAAUAUGUCCCAUAUAUACCACUGAAAAUCCAAGGCUUUUUAUGGUUAUUCAUUCUUAAUGGCAUUUCUACUAAAUGCUUUCUAAGAAUCAGAACGCAUGGUGUAUGUCCUACAAUACAAAUGGUGAUAACCUUUGUUUUUGGUGUUACAGCCAUGGAGGAAAAGAGUGAUGAUAUUUUAUUUUCUUGUCACUUCAUACGGUCCAUGGAGGAAAUGUGGAUAGAUCGAAGAUAAGUAAAUCAAGAUUCACAGACUGUGAAAGCGUAUUAAAAGAUGAGAACUUUUUGACUUGGAUUUUUUUUAAUAAAAGUUCUUUGCUUGGAUUUUUUUUUAGUAAAAAUUCUUUGCUUGGAUUUAAGAGAUGAGAUUCAAAGAACUUUUAAGAGAUGCAGCAAACAACCUCAAAAUCCAAGCUCUUUGCUUGUAAGCUUCCUAGCCACUUGUAAACAGAAAAUACGGCUUCUAUGGAGUCCCAAUCUCGGGAAAUGGUCAGGGCAUAUAGACCAGAUGACUCGAAUUGUACAUAUAUUUUUUUCUUUUUUGGUGAAAUAACUCAAAUUCCAUUGAUCAACACAUUUACAGAAAAAAGCAAAUCAACACUAUAGAAAAAUGCAAAUCGGGGCUCUUAUGUACAACCAGCAAGGUUGAAGACUUGAAGUUGAACAAAUUGAUGACUUUGCACAGGAGGAUAUUUGGAAAUUCAUCAACUUGUCCUUGGAACAGCAUAAAGAUGGAGGCCCCCCUUCAUAUGAAGUGUGAACAUUGUCCUGUAAGUUGCAAUUUUCGUAUAAUCAACUAAUUUAAAGCGGAAGAAGCGAAGAAGGGCAAUUGAGACUAUCUUCAUCUACCGGUGAGCAAAAUCCUUGCCUAAGCAAGUUCGAGGACCCGCCUGAAACAUAAUGCAGCAGCUGGAAAAGAUUAAGAUCGUUUGACAACUAUAUAGGCACAUGCAUGUUAUACACAUGGUAGAAAUGGAACAAAGAAUACUAACAUGAAAUGCUAUGAAUUUGAAAGGGGAUUCGGACUGGAAAACUCCAUUGUUAAGCCAUCUUUCUGGUCGAAAAGUGUCGGCAUCUUCUCCCCAAAUGUCAGGCAUUCUACGCAUGGCGUAGGCCAUGUAAUACACCCCGUCUCCUUUCUUGAGUUUGUAGCCAUCGGGGAGAAUGUCAUCCUGCUCUGCAUUCCUUCCAUCCUUGAAGCACAAAGUGAGAACCAUAUCAUAUUCCAGCUGUCGAAAUGCUAAGACUGCAAGAAAAUCUAUGAGUGUCUCAGGCACCUUACAAUGGCGACAGCAGGGUACAGCCUUAAGGUCUCUGUUAUGGCUGCAUGAAGAUAGUGCAUUUGCUCUAGGGUUGAAUCAGUUAUGGUUGUCACGAAAUCAUCAACAUUAUUAGCACCAUUUCUUUUACUACUAGUGACGUCCACCACUUCUUGUGCAAGUUUUUCUUGUAUCAAAGGGUUCUUGCAGAGCAUGUAGAAGAACCAGGACAGAGUAUUCGCAGAAGAAUCUUUGCCAGCGAGUACGAAGUUCAGGAUUAUAUCCCUUAAAUAUUUGUCAUUCAUUGUGUCUGGAUUCUUCUCGCUUUCCACUAAAAAUCUUGAAAGUAUGUCUUCUUUCACAUUCUUGAAGCCAUAAAAAGAAAUAAGAAAAAACAAACCAAUUAUUAGUAAAGUAUAAAUUUCCACGCCAAAAACCAGAUUACCUUAAGCAGUGAGAUUGAAUUCAACAGUGUUCUUGUGACUCUCAAGUCCCACCAUAUUUGUUAGACCAAGAUUGACUAUAAGAAAUUCUUGCAGCAAAAUAUAUAUGGCUCACCAAAUCUCGUUCCAUGCCCAGCAGUUUCCUCUUGGAGCUAAUGACAUCGUGAACAAAGUAUCAACGACUUUGAUAUUCUUUCUGAGGGCAGCUUCAGAGCCAAUGUUAAGAGACCGUUUCAGCUUCCAGAAAGGGUCAACAAAGCGCCUCUCAUUUGAAUCAUCAAAAGCCUUCAUAAAAGUAGUCCCUUCCUUACUUGACCCAUCCAUGCAGUUUAAAUCUAUGCCAAACCCAACUUUGAAUAUGGAAUCUAGAGUGCAUGUCAUUAAUAGAUUCUACAAAUUAAAGUAAACACAGCAUGAAAAACUGAAAAAGGGAAAAUUAGACAAGCAUAAUUGUGAGCAUCUUUAAAGUUUUGGGUUAAUUUGAGGGUCAGAUUUCUCACUUGCAUGUCAAAAGCUUGACCCGACACUUCCAGCUUCGAAAUAACUCCAACCAGUUUGGCAGCGUUCCUUCUGAAAACAGAGCAGCUAAAAUAUUUAAGAACUCUCGUCGAGAACUCGAAGCUUGCCAGCUUCCGCUGCUUCCGCCACUUGUCUCCGUCCACCGCAAAGAUCCCUUGUCCAAAAAGAUCUAUCAGAAUUUCUUGGUUUUGUUUACCCUUACAGUAUCUGUCGAACUUUGUUUUCAAUAUGUACUCUACAUUUCGCGUAUCGACGGUGUAUACUACGCUUAGCCCUAAAGCGAGUUGCCUGUAAGUGGGCUGUUUUUUGGCCGCUUGGGUUUGGUAGUCGUAGAGAUAGUUGAAAUAAAACAACUGGUUGAAAACGCUGCCCUUCACCGGUGGGUUGUCAGGAUUUCCGAUGGAUUUUCCGGUGAAGAUUUUGAUUGUGAGAAAAGAGAAGAUCAGGAAGAGAAUGAGUGGUGGUAAUGACAUCAACAAGAAGAUGGUAGAGAGAAUAUCCAUUUUUCCUUUUUCUAAUGAAUACUCGGAAAGGUUAUAGGCCAUAUAUGCAGAUUCUUGCAUUGGGUUGCAUUCAUUUUUCAACCUACCAACAAAAUCAAACCGUUUUCAUCACCAAUAUCUUUCUCAACAACAAAAUCAUUUGUUUAAUAAUUAUAAUGUUUACACGUGUACGAUUGCCAUUUCAUCAAUUUGAUUUUUCUUGUAAAUUAAGUUGAUGCCACCAUAUCUCAUACUUCAAAAAUUUUAGAGGAUUGUACGGAUAAUCAUAAAUUUAUAAUCAUAAUUAUAAUCUAUUUAACUUCUAAAGUGAAUUAACAUAUAUAACUUUAAUCAAGUAAGCAUGAAAAAAGUGUAUCAUUUAAGUUUGGGUCUUGUUUACGAAUAUUCUAAGAGUUUUUUUAUCGUUAAUUAAAAUAUUAUAAUAAUAUUUUUCUUUUAAAUGUCGUAAUUGACUGGUAGUGCGAUGAUUUUCAAUAUAUCUAAAAUGAUAUUACUCAAUAUAAUAACUUUAAAUAAUAUCAUUAUAACAAUAGUUAGUAAAAGUCAUAAUAUUCAAAAAAGCUUUUAAAUUAUUCAAAAAAUUUAAAAUAAAUCUUACUUUUAUUAUAUUCAAUUAUAUUUUUAUAUUUUUAUUUUAGAUCAAAUAAAUCUUUUAUUUUUAUUUUGAAUCAAAUAAAUCUUUAUAAAUAAUAAUUGACUUAGUUAAAAUGUUAUUUGUCAUUAUAUAUUACGUGACGCUGAUGUAGUAUACUAACAUAUCAUAAUUAAUGAUGAUGUGAUAUGUUGAUUUAUCAUAUUUGAUAAUGAUAUGACAUGCUAGUUUAACCUAAUAACAUGAUGACAUUUUUCAAUCUCUACAUUAAUAUCAUAUUAGUGCCACGUGGAUAUAAAAUGAUAAAAUAUAUUUUGACUAAUGAAAAUUAGUCAAUUAUUAUUAAUAAAAGCUUAUUUGAUCUAAAAUAAAAAUAUAGAGACUUGAUUAAGCGUAACAAAAGAAUAAAAAUUUAUUCGAAUUUUGUUAAAUAGUUUCAGAGCUUAUUUGAGAAAUAUGUGUUAGUAAAACCAUUUAUAUUUAAAUUUUUAUUUUAUUUUUUGAAAAGUAAUUUGUCAUAAACGGAAUAAUGACAUGGCUAUAGAUUAAGCUAGGCUAUAAACUUAUUUCAGCCUUAAAUGAUUAACAAUGAAUAAGGUGCGUCCCCUCUCAAGAAACCCCUAUACAAUAGUUAGGAUAAACCCUUAAAGGAUGGACCUCAGGACCGGGGGCAGCUCAAGUACCUCUUGUGACGACAUGAUAUUCAUUGAAGACUAUUUGGACUUCAAGCGUGUUCAUCCAUUGACAUUGGCAAUUAGUUUCUGCUGGCAUGAACCGUAUGGCGACCACUUGUAUGAUUGUGAUAUAUCAUGCUGUUGAGUGCGAGCUCAACUUUGUUGAAGUACAUUGGUGUCCUUGGUUUUGUUGAAUUCUGACAAUAGACAUCCCAUACCCAAUUCAUAGCAUACAUAUGGCUUUUAUCUUUGUUUAAAUUGAAUUAAGAACAUCCGGAUUCAUUUCAUACUCAUAAGAUCUUAAGAUGAUCAAGAUUUGCACUUAACGGAAGCAAAACUGGCCUGAACUCAAUAUUCAGACAAAAGUAUGGUUCUAGACUCUUUGGUCAGUGAAAGCAACCAUCCAUCAUAUCGAUUCCUUUCGUCCUUUUUGCUUGGUGACAUCAUCCGAUUUACUCAUGUGCAAGGAAAGAUACAAGUAUAUUAACAGUGUGCAUUUGCCUAGUAUAAAGAACUGAGCCACCAGAUGAAACCCUUGGUCAAAUAAGCUAGAAAGACCAAAGUUAAGUCUGACAUCUGUGAAGUGCGCGGACAUGAAGGCCCCCAUCUACAUGAAGAUUGAUCAUCGUCCUGUAGGUGACACAUUUAUUCUCAUCACUCAGUUUGAACGCAAAGCAGUGCACCAGAACAGCUGAGAAGAUCUUCAUCUGCCUAUAAGCAAAUUCCUUGCCUAAACAAAUUCGAGGCCCUGCCUGUAAACCAUUAGAAAAUAAAGUUCAGUAUCUUCACAUCUUUAGCCGGUAAAAUCACACUUGUGAAACAAUAUGAGAGGUUUGAACUUUCAGAAAAAGACUCAGAACCAGAAUCAAAUGCUGUUAUGCUGCUUUUUUACCAUUUUUUUUCUAUUUGAGGUCUUUUUUUACACCAAGUGCCAAUCAGAAUAAAAAUGCUUUGCCCGAUCUGCAAAAGAAGCAUACAACAAUUUCUAAUUUGCAACAUGUUCUGCAUACCUGGAAUGCUGUAAACUUAAAAGGGCUUUCUGGUUGGAACAUCCCCUCCUCAUCAAGGCAUCUCUCUGGUCUGAACUCCUCUGCAUCAUCACCCCAAAUGAAUUUCAUUCUGCCCAUUGCAUAAGGUUCAUAACAAACCAUAUCUCCUUUCCUCACACUGAACCCAUCUGGAAGAGUUUCAUCAGACAAGCAUAUCUUUGCAUCCUGCAAUCAAAGUGAAGAGGUAGUGAGAACCAAAGAAAACCCCAGAACAUAGCAAGGAAGCUAAUUUCUAGCCUUCCCGAUAUGCAUUGAAUGGAUAUCAGUUUAUCGAUGCAUGUUCUUUGAUGUGCAUUAACAAGUUCAGUUGGAGGAUUCAAGAUUCAAGGCAACUUUGCUUACAACUGGAACAGCGGGGUAGAGCCUUAAUGUUUCAGUUAAGGCUGCAUGGAGAUAGUGCAUUUUUCCUAGGGCUUCUUCGCUCAAGAUAGCAGCAAAUUCAGCAAAAUCUUUAACCUCCUUCGUGUCAGUUGCUUCCUUCACUUCUUGUGCAACCUUUUCUUGAACAUCAGGAUGCUUGCAGAGCAUGUAAAUAAACCACGACAGAGUAGCUGUCGUUGUGUCUUUCCCAGCAAUUAUGAAGUUAAGGAUUAUAUCUCGCAAGUAUGUUGGAUCAGUGUCACUCACUUGUAGAAAUCUGGAUAAAAUGUCUUCCUUUUUCAUCUGCAUAAUCUGUAGAAAAUAAUAAUUUCAAUAUUCUACUUCAACAGGUAAUAUAAGCUGUUAACUAUAAGUAGCUCUACUGUUCUAGUUCACUCACUGAAGCUUCAUCCUUUGAGUUGCGUAUUGGCUCAAUCUUGUUGUGGAUCAGCUUAUACACAAAAUUAUCAACCACUUCUAUACUUUUCUUCAGUGUGGCCUCUGAUCCAAUAUUUAGAAAUCUUUUGAUCUUCUAGAAGAUAUCAACAUAUCGGAAGAGGAUUGCUGCACUUGAAUCAUCAAAAGCAGCUGUAAACUGUUUGCCUUCUAAAUUUGAUCCACACAUGCUGUCUAGUUCGACUCCAAAUGCAACUUUGAAUAGUGAAUCUAAAGUCGAUUUCAUAAACAAGUCCUGCACAAUAUAUCGUUAUAACAGAUCCAUUUUAUAUAUCACUCUGCAUUGAUCUUGCCAUUAGGUGAACUUACCUGUAUAUCCAUUAUCUCAUUGGAAUUUGCUGCUUCAGACACUAUAGUUGCAAGUUUUGCCGCAUUUUCCCGAAAGACUACACUGCUGAAAUCUCUCAAGACCUUGGUUGAGAAUUCAUAGCUUGAUACUUUCCUCUGUUGACGCCACUUAUCACCAUCGACAGUGAAAAUCCCAUCACCUAGUAAACCCUUUAGCAAGCUGUAAUUGUACUCACCCUGCACAGAAAAUUAAACAGUUUGGAAAACCAAAACAACUCCACCAUUCUGCCUUUUGGGUGGCCAUAUAAUUAUCAAAAGCCCUCUCAUUCCAACUAAUCACUCUGCGGCAUAUUAGCAUCUACAAUUGACUUACUUGUGGCGAGAUUGAGACCCUUUUUCUUAAUCUAAUUACGGGUGUUUCUGUCUAAGCUACUUACACUAACCAAUCACCGGGAGAGUUCAGAAUUUUCUAGACCAACAAAUUAUUUGUGACUUUGAGGUGUGAAACGAGAGUCGGCACCAUACCUUGCCAUAUUUCUGGAAAUUUGUUUUUAGAAUAUACUCAACAUUGUCUGGUUCCGAGGUAUAAAUCUCAUUCCUGAAAGGGCUAAGCAGCCUGUAGUUCCUGUACUUCCCAGCAAGAUCAGUCAUAUAGUGAUGCAAUCUUCUGAAGUUGAGGAGCUGGUUAAAAACCGUUCCGCCAACGGGAUGGUACUUGGCCUUAUUUUUCCUCUGCCUUUCUCUUAGUUUUGCUGUGAGGAACUGGACGGUGAAAAGGGUCAGGAUUAGACUUAGAACCAAAGCUACCAAGGGAACUGGGUUAGACAGAUCCAUGAAGAUGGAGGUACGUUUGGGAAAGCUGGUCUAUCAAUGUUAGGUGAAGGCUGUAUUAAACUAGAGAAGUCGUUCUGAAAUACUAAUAAUAUCAACGGAGAGAAGUCCUUCUGCCAAGUUAUUCCUCUCAACCAAACGUGUCACAACCUAAUUGGACUACAUUCGGACAAGCCCGAAACGUGGUUCUCUCGAAUUUCACAAGGUGAAAUUUUUGAAAUUGGCAAAAAAUUACUAAUAAAUUUCACCACAACCAGAUAACAAAACAAAGGGUCAUACUUAUUUUUUCCUUAGUUAUGAUGGUAAAGGACAUACAUAUCUGUUCUAUUCGGUUAUUUUGUAGUUAAGUAAAGAGAAUGAUUUUUUAAUUUAAUUUUUAAAUAAAAAUACGUGUAUUUAUCAUGUUAAGUUUAAUAUUCAGAUGAAAAAUUAAUUAGAAUUUUAUUUCAAAGCAUAUGAUACAAUUAAGUAACUUAAGUACAAAGAUGAUUAAGCUUAGCAAACAAGGAAAUGUCAUAUUUCUCAAUCCGAGAGAUAAGAAGCACAGAGCCAAAGGCCCUGCAAAAAGGCAGGGGAGAACUGAAUUGUUGUUUCCUAAAACUUUGCAUUAAGAUCAACAUGACUUUCUAGUCAUUAAAUAUUCUGCUAGAUUUCGAACUUGCAAAUAUGGUCUGUUUUAAUGAAAUUGCAGAAUGUUGUCUCAGGUCUCAACAACUUUGAUUUCACUUCUUUUUCAAGGAAAAAAAAAUGGUUUCACUUAGUUUGCAGAAGUGUCCUGAACUCAAUUUUCAGACAAAAGUAUGGUUCGAGACUCCUUGGUGAGUGAAAGUAAUUCUUCAUCAUAUUUAUUCCUUUAUUUUUCUUUUUGGAUAUCAUUGUAUUUAUUCUUGUGCAAGGACAAGUACAUGCAUACUCAAACCUUGCAAUUGCCCAGCAUACAGAACUGAGCCAACAGAUGAAACCCGUGGUCAAAUAGGCAAGAAAGACUAAGUCUGACAUCUGGGAAAUGCGCGGACAUGAAGGCCCCCAUCUACGUGAAGAGUGAUCAUCGUCCUGUAGGUGACAGAUUUAUUCUCAUCACUCAGUUUGAACACAAAGUAGUGCACCAGAACAGCCGAGAAGAUCUUCAUCUGCCUAUAAGCAAAUUCCUUGCCGAAACAAAUUCGAGGGCCUGCCUGUAAACCAUUAGAAAAUAAAGUUCAGCAUGUUCACAUCUUUAGCCGGUGAAAUCACACUUGUGAAACAAUAUGAGAAGUUUGAACUUUCGGAAAAAGACCCAGAACCAAAAAUCAAAUGCUGUUAUACUGCUUUUUUAGCCUCUUUUUCUAUUUGAGGUUUUAUUUUACACCAAGUGCCAAUCAGAAUAAUAAUGCUUUGGCCGAUCUGGAAACGAAGCGUACAAGAACUUCUAAUUUGUAGUAUGUUCUGCACACCUGGAAUGCUGUAAACUUAAAAUGGCUUUCUGGUUGGAACAUCCCAUCCUCAUCAAGCCAUCUCUCUGGUCUGAACUCCUCUGCAUCAUCACCCCAUAUGAAUUUCAUUCUGCCCAUUGCAUAAGGUUGAUAACAAACCAUAUCUCCUUUCCUCACACUGAACCCAUCUGGAAGAGUAUCAUCAGAAAAGCAUAUCUUUGCAUCCUGCAAUCAAAGUGAAGAGGUAGUGAGAUCCAAAGAAAACCCCAGAACAUAGAAAGGAAGCUAAUUUCUAGCCUUCCCGAUACGCAUUGAAUGGAUAUCAGUUUAUAGAUGCAUGUUCUUUGAUGUGCAUUAACAAGUUCAGUUGGAGGAUUCAAGAUUCAAGGAAACUUUGCUUACAACUGGAACAGCGGGGUAGAGCCUUAAUGUUUCAGUUAAGGCUGCAUGGAGAUAGUGCAUUUUUCCUAGAGCUUCUUCGCUCAAGAUAGCAGCAAAUUCAGCAAAAUCUUUAACCUCCAUCGUGUCAGUUGCUUCCUUCACUUCUUGUGCAACCUUUUCUUGAACAUCAGGAUGCUUGCAGAGCAUGUAAAUAAACCACGACAGAGUAGCUGCUGUUGUGUCUUUCCCAGCAAUUAUGAAGUUAAGGAUUAUAUCUCGCACGUAUGUUGGGUCAGUGUCAUUCAAUUGCAGAAAUCUGGAUAAAAUGUCUUCCUUUUUCAUCUGCACAAUCCGUAGAAUACAAUUAUUUCAAAAUUCUACAUAGAAACCGUUAAUUAUAAGUAGCUCUAUUCUUCUAGUUCACUCACAGAAGAAUCGUUCGAGUUACGCGUCUGCUCAAUCUUGUUGUGGAUCAGCUUAUACACAAAAUUAUCAACCACUUUUGUACUUUUCUUUAGUUUUUGCUUCUGAUCCAAUAUUUAAAAAUCUCUUGAUCUUCCAGAAGAUAUCAACAUAUCGGAAGAGGAUUGCUGCACUUGAAUCGUCUAAAGCAGCUGUAAACUCUUUGCCUUCUAAAUUUGAUCCACACAUGCUGUCUAGUUCAACUCCAAAUCCAACCUUGAAUAUCGAAUCUAAAGUCGAUUUCAUAAACAAGUCCUACACAACAUUUCGUUAUAACAGAUUCAUUUUAUAUAUCACUCCGUCAUGAGUCUUGCCAUUAGGUGAACUUACCUGAAUAUCCAUUGUCUUGUUGGACUUCGUUGCGUCAGACACUAUAUUUGCAAGCUUUGCUGCAUUUUUCCGAAAGACUACAGUGCUGAAAUCCCUCAACACCUUUGUUGAGAAUUCAUAGCUUGACACUUUCCUCUGUUGACGCCACUUAUCACCAUCGACUGCGAAAAUCCCAUCACCUAGUAAAUCCUUUACCAAGCUGUAAUUGUACUCACCCUGCACAGAAAAUUAGACAAAUUGAAAAACCAAAACGACCCCACCAUUCUACCGUAGCCAUAUAAUUAUCAAAAACUCUUUCGUUGUAGCUAAUAACCCUGCAGGCUGCAGCACAUUAGCAUUUGUAAUUGACUUAAUUGUGACUAUAGAUUGAGACACUCUUUCAUAUUCUAAUUCUGGGUGUUACUGUCUAAGCUACUUCUUCCAACCAAUGACUGGGAGUUCAAAAUUUUCUAGACCAACAAAUUACCUUGCCAUAAUUCUGGAAAUUUGUUUUGAGAAUAUAUUCAACGUUGUCUGGUUCCGAGGUAUAAACCUCACUCCUGAAAGGGCUAAGCAGCCUGUAGGUCCUAUACUUCCCUGCAAGAUCAGUCAUAUAGUGAUGCACUCUUUUGAAGUUGAGGAGCUGGUUAAAAAGUGUUCCGCCAACAGGAUGGUACUUGGUCUUGUUUUCUUUCUGCUUUUCUCUUAGUUUUGCUGCGAGGAACUUGACAGUGAAAAGGAUCAGGAUUAGAUUUAGAAACAAAGCGACCAAUGUAGCUGGGUUAGACAGAUCCAUGGAGAUGGAGGUCCUUUCUGGGUAAGCUGGUCGAUCAAUGUUAGCGGGUGAAGACUGAAGAAAACUAGAGGUCCUUUUAUAAUACUAAUAAUAUCAACGGCGAAAAAUCCUUUUGCUAAGUCAUUUCUCCUAACCAAACGAGUGACUAUAUUCCGACAAACCGCAAACGUGUUUCUCUUGAAUUUUACAUGCACAUUGCUGAGAGUCCAACCAUGAGAGAGAUAUGCACCGACUGUCCUUCAUUUUCUCCUUUUUCUUGUUUAAAUUGGUAUAAGUUAUUAACUAAUUUCACCACAACCAAAUAACAAAACAAAGGGCAGGAUUAGUUUUUUUUUUUCUCAGUCAAUAUAACUAUUUAGAGAAAAUUGUGAAAAAUAACUCAUAAGGUGAUUUUAAAAAUAAUCAUCCAUAUAAAGUUAUCUGUUUUUACUAAAAAACAAACAUGAGUAAUACCCUCAGAAACAUCUUGACAAAUCAAUCUUCUGAUAUCUCUCCGCUGUAGAAAAAAUAAAUGCUCAAUUAUUUUAACUCGCUUAACUCUUUCAGCUCUCUAAAUUAUAUCAACUCUGUCAACUCUCUGUUAAGCAUCAUCGUCAUCAACUCUCUCAACUAUUUGAACUAUAUCAUCUAUAUGUAUUUAUUAAAGAUAUAAAUUAAAGAAUAUAAAUGAAAACAAAGUAAAUGAAUAAUUGAAAAGACAAGUCGAGCCACUUAUUACUACAACGAUCAUUGUCUGAUCAUGACAACUGAAGCCACUGCAAUUGCUCGGCCAAUAAAGUUGGCAAACUUUGUUGAAAUAGGACUUGCAUUGAAAACCAUGUAAGUUCAUACUACCUUAAGAUCAUACGUGACCAUUUUGUAUUAAGCUACCUUUCUUUCAAAUUAUAAUAACUAUGCAUUUAGUGAAUGACUUAUAUGAUGAUUAGUAUGUAUUCUUUUGCCUAGCUACUGCUCAAAACUUAGUUGUUAAGUUUUGUUUUGUAUAUAAACUAAGUCAAUGCAUAUAAGAAAUAUGAAACCUACUGUUACAACAAAAACUGUCUUUACUUGCUCUGUUUCAUACUUAUCCUACAUCAACUAAAACACAACAAAACUUACUAAAUAAAGCAAUCUAUAUACCAACAAUCUCUUCGAAUUCAGCAAGUUUUAGUUUGUCCUCUUGGAAUGACAUAAAGGUCGAGGCCAUGCUGGAGGGUGAGGCCACAACUUGGUCCUAUCGUCUGCCAAGUUGAAGCGAAAGUAGUGAAUAAAGGAACUUUGUUGAGAUUUUCUUCAUCUGCCUAGAGAAAUUAAGAAGAAAUUAGAUGGUGUAGAUACUUGAUUUUGAUUUUGAUUGUUUACAUAUUUCUUCAAUAUAAAGUAAAAUUAACUUAUAAAACAUUGUAUUACUACGUAAGAAGCAGUGUAGAUAAUUUAUAAUAAGUAGAAAAAUCACGUCAUUGUAUAAACUAGUGAAAAUAUCUUCGAACUAAUGAUGAGAUUUUUAAAUUAAUUUUUUUUAAAAUGUUUUGAAGUGUUUUAUUUGAUAACUUAAAUACAUAAAUGAAAACUUUCUAAAUACAUAUGCAUAAAGUCCACUAUCACCAUCAAUGACCUAAACAUCCACAAGGCUUUAAUGCCUCAACAGUUGACACAUUUUUUCAUUGGUUUUUUUUAGGGGUAUUUUUAAAAAUAACCCUUAAAAAUAAGAUGUUUUCAAAAAUAACUCUCUUUAUAAUUUUAACCAUUUUUAACCAAGUUGGACAAAAUUACCCUUAAUGAAAUUACACGCUAUGAUGUUACACGUUAUGUACAAAAAUAUGUUACACGUCAUGUGCAAAAACAUGUGACACGUCAUGGUUAAGUUGUUACACACCAUGUACAGAAACAUGUGACACGCUAUGUACAAAAACAUGUAACACGUCAUGAUUAGGUUGUUACACACCAUGUACAGAAACAUGUGACACGUCAUGUACAAAAACAUGUGACACGCCAUGGUUAGGUUGUUACACGUCAUGUUGAAAAAAAUACUAUUGUUACACGCCAUGUAUAAAAACAUAUUACACGUCAUGGUUAAAAAAAGUUGUUACAUGCCAUGUUGAAAAACAAAUAUUGUUGUUACACGUCAUGUACAAAAAUCUGUGACAAGCCAUAAUUAGGUUGUUACACGUCAUGUUGAAAAAAAAUACUAUUGUUACACGUCAUCUACAAAAAUAUGUUACACGCUAUGGUUAAAAAAAGUCGUUACACUCCAUGUUGAAAAAAAAAAUUAUUGUUACACGCUAUGUUGAAAAAAUAUUGUUGUUACACGACAUAUUCAAAAAUAUUUUGUUACACUUUAAUGUCUAAAAUAUUGUUGUUACUUACGAACCAAAACUUCAAAUCUUCUCAACUUUUUUCUUUUUUUGUUGUUUUUUUUGACAAUUUGGCACAGAUUAAAUUGUUUCUAACAUCUUUUCAUAAAUCAAAAUACAAAUAUUUUUUUUAUCUAAACCACCUACNGCUUAAAAUUUUGUUGUUACUUAUGAACCAAAACUUCAAAUCUUUUCAACUCUUUUCAUUUUUUUUUGUUUUUUUUGACAAUUUGGCACUGAUUAUAGUGUUUCUAACAUGUUUUCAUUAAUCAAAAUACAAAUUUUUUUAUCUAAAAUACUUAUUUCGAAUAAAAUAAAAAAAAAAUUCUUUUAAAAAUCUAGAUUUUUAAAUUUCAAAAUUUUGAGUUUUUUAGUGUCUAGGUCCCUAAUUGAUUCAAUUAAAAGUUAUUUCAUACAUCUGUGAUUAUUUCUACCACCCACCCAAGCACGUCAAAAACAUUGCUUGGUGUCUUGAAAGCACAAUAAAAAAAAUCUAAAAAUACAAUAGAGAGAAAUCAGAAGCAUAGCAAACGAAUGCCAAAAAGAGAAAUCGAUAAAAUUAAAGAGAAUGGGAUAGUGAGAGAGAGAAAUCAGAAACAAAAAUUGGGAGAAAUUGUGAUGAAUGGUUUAAUUUAUUUGAAAUAGUUUAAAAGUUAUUUUUAUCAAAUCAUGACUAAAUAUAAUUAAAAACAGUUAAAUUUAUUUUGAUUGUUACUUUUAAAAUGUCUUUAUCAAAAAAGGUCAUUUCUCACAAUUUCCUUUUUUUUAUAAGCCAUGAAUAAAUUUCAUUAAUUACAAGAUUACUCAAUUCCAUAACCCUUCAAGAUAUUUUCUCAUUGAUUGUGUUCGAUUUGAUAUGGAUGUUAAUUUUCUUUUUGAAUUACAAAUAUUUUUCAUUUUUUUAAAUAAUUAAGUGACGCACUUCUAAUGCCUCAGUAGCUGACAUUAAUUAUCCAUUGGUUGCAUUCACUUUGAUUCGGAGCUAAUUAACAACCGAAAAGUUGGCCGAUGUUUGCCGACCUGGAUUUAAUGGUCAUAUGAGUUGGUGUAACAAUGUGAUACCAAAAAGGUAGUAAUCAAUACAAAUUUUGAGUAGGAAGAGUACUGCAUGCAAAUGAAAUCAAGAAGAAGAUUGUGGAGAAAACUCUCAUUUAAUGGAAGAACAUGACUGCCAAAUACGAGUACCUAUACAUGGUUUUGCAAUUGCCAUCAUCCUAUGCAUCCCUAGGUUACUUAACUGAUUGAUGUAAUUCAUUGAAUAAAAUGGUUAGUUGUUCUUAUCAUGUCAUGUCAUCGUCAUGAUAUUUCUUCCUCUUUUGUGAGUAAUGAGAUUUUUGAAGGAUGGAGAUGACUCUACCUAAAUUCCUAGAUUUUUUUUGUUGCUUAUUUUCAUUGUAUUUUGAGUUCUUGACUGUCUAUAACUGUUUAUCUUUUGCAAAGCCAUUUUUUUACCUUAAUUUCAACCCAGCAUCUGUGUGUUGUCUGAUGGGUUAGAAAAUGGGCAAGUUUGAUUGGUGGUUGAUUCCUUUUCUUCAGCAUUUUGGUAACUUGGGCCUAUAAAAUUUAUUUAUAGUAGACAAAAAAAAAGAACUUUUAUUAAAAAAUAUUAUAGUAAAUAUUUGUUUCUUUUCGGAUAAUUGACUUUUAUUUAGCUAAGGAAUAUUUUAUUUGAAAUAUGUCCCAUAUAUACCACUGAAAAUCCAAGGUUUUUUAUGGCUAUUCAUUCUUAAUGGCAUUUCUACUAAAUGCUUUCUAAGAAUCAGAACGCAUGGUGUAUGUCCUACAAUACAAAUGGUGAUAACUUUUGUUUUUGGUGUUACAGUCAUGGAAGAAAAGAGUGAUGAUAUUUUAUUUUCUUGUCACUUCAUACGGUCCAUGGAGGAAAUGUGGAUAGAUCGAAGAUAAGUAAAUCAAGAUUCACAGACUGUGAAAACGUAUUAAAAGAUAAGAAUUUUUUGACUUGGAUUUUUUUUAAUAAAAGUUCUUUGCUUGGAUUUUUUUUUUAGUAAAAAUUCUUUGCUUGGAUUUAAGAGAUGAGAUUCAAAGAACUUUUAAGAGAUGCAGCAAACAACCUCAAAAUCCAAGCUCUUUGCUUGUAAGCUUCCUAGGCACCUGUAAACGGAAAAUACGGCUUCUAUGGAGUCCCAAUCUCCGGAAAUGGUCAGGGCAUAUAGACCAGAUGACUCGAAUUGUACAUAUAUUUUUUUCUUUUUUGGUGAAAUAACUCAAAUUCCAUUCAUCAACGCAUUUACAGAAAAAAGCAAAUCAACACUACAGAAAAAUGCAAAUCGGGGCUCUUAUGUACAACCAGCAAGGUUGAAGACUUGAAGUUGAACAAAUUGAUGACUUUGCACAGGAGGAUAUUUGGAAAUUCAUCAACUUGUCCUUGGAACAGCAUAAAGAUGGAGGCCCCCCUUCAUAUGAAGUGUGAACAUUGUCCUGUAAGUCGCAAUUUUCGUAUCAUCAACUAAUUUAAAGCGGAAGAAGCGAAGAAGGGCAAUUGAGACUAUCUUCAUCUGCCGGUAAGCAAAAUCCUUGCCUAAGCAAGUUCGAGGACCCGCCUGAAACAUAAUGCAGCAGCUGGAAAAGAUUAAGAUCGUUUGACAACUAUAUAGGCACAUGCAUGUUAUACACAUGGUAGAAAUGGAAAAAAGAAUACUAACAUGAAAUGUUAUGAAUUUGAAAGGGGAUUCGGGCUGGAGAACUCUAUUGUUAAGCCAUCUUUCUGGUCGAAAAGUGUCGGCAUCUUCUCCCCCAAUGUCAGGCAUUCUACCCAUGGCGUAGGCCAUGUAAUAUACCCCGUCUCCUUUCUUGAGUUUGUAGCCAUCAGGGAGAAUGUCAUCCUGCUCUGCAUUCCUUCCAUCCUUGAAGCACAAAGUGAGAACCAUAUCAUAUUCCAGCUAUCGAAAUGCUAAGACUGCUAGAAAAUCUAUGAGUGUCUCAGGCAACUUACAAUGGCGACAGCAGGGUACAGCCUUAAGGUCUCUGUUAUGGCUGCAUGAAGAUAGUGCAUUUGCUCUAGGGUUGAAUCAGUUAUGGUUGUCACGAAAUCAUCAACAUUAUUAGCACCAUUUCCUUUACUACUAGUGACGUCCACCACUUCUUGUGCAACUUUUUCUUGUAUCAAAGGGUUCUUGCAGAGCAUGUAGAAGAACCAGGACAGAGUAUUCGCAGAAGAAUCUUUGCCAGCGAGUAUGAAGUUCAGGAUUAUAUCCCUUAAAUAUUUGUCAUUCAUUGUGUCUGGAUUCUUCUCGCUUUCCACUAAAAAUCUUGAAAGUAUGUCUUCUUUCACAUUCUUGAAGCCAUAAAAAGAAAUAAGAAAAAACAAACCAAUUAUUAGUAAAGUAUAAAUUUCCACGCCAAAAACCAGAUUACCUUAAGCAGUGAGAUUGAAUUCAACAGUGUUCUUGUGACUUUCAAGUCCCACCAUAUUUGUUAGACCAAGAUUGACUAUAAGAAAUUCUUGCAGCAAAAUAUAUAUGGCUCACCAAAUCUCGUUCCAUGCCCAGCAGUUUCCUCUUGGAGCUAAUGACAUCGUGAACAAAAGUAUCAAUGACUUUGAUAUUCUUUCUGAGGGCAGCUUCAGAGCCAAUGUUAAGAGACCUUUUCAGCUUCCAGAAAGGGUCAACAAAGCGCCUCUCAUUUGAAACAUCAAAAGCCUUCAUAAAAGUAGUCCCUUCCUUACUUGACCCAUCCAUGCAGUUUAUAUCUAUGCCAAACCCAACUUUGAAUAUGGAAUCUAGAGUGCAUGUCAUUAAUAGAUUCUACAAAUUAAAGUAAACACAGCAUGAAAAACUGAAAAAGGGAAAAUUAGACAAGCAUAAUUGUGAGCGUCUUUAAAGUUUUGGGUUAAUUUGAGGGUCAGAUUUCUCACUUGCAUGUCAAAAGCUUGACCCGACACUUCCAGCUUCGAAAUAACUCCAACCAGCUUGGCAGCGUUCCUUCUGAAAACAGAGCAGCUAAAAUCUUUAAGAACUCUCGUCGAGAACUCGAAGCUUGCCAGCUUCCGCUGCUUUCGCCACUUGUCUCCGUCCACCGCAAAGAUCCCUUGUCCAAAAAGAUCUAUCAGAAUUUCUUGGUUUUGUUUACCCUUACAAUAUCUGUCGAACUUUGUUUUCAAUAUGUACUCUAUGUUGGAAAAUAAUGUAUUUCAUAAGGUUCAAACAUCCCACAUUGUCAAAAUACAUAAAAGGUGAAUGUCUUAUAUUGGGAAACCAACUUUAGACUUGUUGCAAGCAAAGAAAACAAAGUGGGCUCACGCGCAUACAAAAUUGGGCCAAAUAGUUAAAAAUUUUAAAUUUUCCUCCCUGUGCGCGAGUAUACAUGUGAGCUGAGCCUAAGUGACCUUUUGUACCUUGACCUUAUUUUUUUUGAACUUUUUCAGCCUUUGAUUAAAUCAAAGUCUAACUCUACCAUGCUUACCUGAUUCUCCUGGUUUUCCUCAACUCCCUCAACUCUCUGAUCUGGUGCAAUGUUCACCUUAUUUGGUGCAACGUUCACUUCACUCCAUGCCUAUAAAUACAACCUUACACCCUCACUCACAACAUACACCAAAGCUUUUCUUCUCUAAAGCUUUCUCCCUCUGCCUCUUCUCUUCUCUUAAGCUUCUCUGCUGGGUUUUCUGCUUCUUCUUUUUGCUAUUCCUGUCAUCCCUUAAUAGUUUGUGCAAACUAUAAGGAAGGGUCUGUUGAAUCUUGGAGGAUAACCGCUACAGUCUUUUUGCACCGAGUUUUAUACUCCGAAUGGGCGAAAAUUAUCCUUAAAGACAGUGAUACCACGCCUCAGACCAAUUACUGCUUUUACUAGUUUUAUAUUCCUUUGUUUCCAAUAUUCAUACAACAUUCUUAAGGAUAAUGGAUUCCCAUGUUGAUAAUGUUGCUGCCACUGUUCCUAAUGCUGCCUCUGUCCCUACUGCCACUAUUCCUAAUGCUGCCUCUGUCCCUGUUGCCACCGCUGUCAACAGUUCCCCCAUAGCUCCCACUCCGAUGACCAUUCCUCCUAUGGCCUCGGCUUCAUAUGCCAAACCAUUUCCAGAUAUUUCCAAAAUAGAAGUCUUUGAUGGCAGAAACUUCAAAAGGUGGCAAGAAAGGAUUUUUUCAAUCCUUGAUGUUCAUGGGGUUGCUUUUGCACUAAUUGAUUCCAAACCAGAUGAUGUCAAGAUGCUGGAACCAUGGAUGCAUGCAAAUAAGGUAUGCAGGCAUACAAUCAUUAGCACACUUUCUAAUGAAUUGUUUGAUGUAUACAACCCUUACAAAGAAGCAAAGCAAAUAUGAGAGUCAAUGAUAGCCAAAUAUACUGCUGAAGAUGUUGGGAAACAGAAGUUCGUGAUUGGCAACUUUUAUCGUUGGAAGAUGACAAAUGACAAGGACAUCAAGAGUCAGAUCAAUGAAUACCACAAGCUAGUGGAUGAUUUGAAGGCUGAAAAAAUCAACUUGCAAGAAGAGUUCGUUGUUAGAUUGCUGAUUGAGAAGCUACCACAAUCUUGGAAUGGAUACAAGCAACAACUAAAGCACAAGGAAAAGUAGUUGUCACUUGCAAAUUUAAUUGUGCACAUCAUCAUUGAAGACACAACUCGCAGGGAGAUUAAGGCUUCCAAAGCUAAGGAAAUUGCAACUAAAGCCAAUCUGGUACAAGGCAAAACCCAGCGCCAACCAAGGUACCCUUAUAAACCUUAUCAUAAACCCAAAGCUCCUCAUCCCACUUUCAAAAAGAAGGGUAGUUGUUUUGUCUGUGGAAAGCCAGGGCAUCAUGCAGCACAAUGCAGGAAAAGAGCAAAGAGAAAUGACAAACCUGCUAAUCCAAGAGUCAACUUGGUCAAAGCAGAUGAAUCUAAUGAUGUAAUUGCUGCGGUCAUUUUACAAGCAAAUAUGGUGGCCAGUGUGAAGGAAUUGGUGGUAGACUCAGGUGCUACCAAGCAUAUUUGUGCAAACAGAAAUGCCUUUACCUCCUAUACUCUUGUAGGGGAAGGAAAAGAGACAAUUUACCUCGAUGAUUCUCGAACUGCUCAAGUUCUUGGUAAAGGGAAAGUCCUUCUCAAGCUCACAUCUGGCAAGACCCUAGCUCUAAAUGAUGUUCUUCAUGUUCCCAAUAUAAGGGCAAACUUGGUAUCUGUGGCCUUAUUAGGCAAGGUUGGGGUGAAAAUGUCAUUCGAAUCUGACAAGAUUAUGAUGACAAAAAAUAAUGUGUUUAUGGGUAAGGGUUAUUGCAAUCAGGGACUCUUUGUACUUAACAUUUCCAAUGUUUUGAAUGAAAAUGGCAAUUCUUCUGCUUACAUGAUUGAAUCUGUUGAUUUAUGGCAUGGUAGACUAGAACAUGUUAGCAUUCCCUAUAUUAAGAAAAUGCAAUCACUAGGAUUAAUUUCUAAUAUUAAAAAUGGAAGCUUUAAUAAAUGCGAAAUAUGUGCUGAAACAAAAUCAACUAAAAAAACUUGUAUUUCAGUAAAUAGGGAAUCUGAAUUAUUAAGUUUAAUUCAUACAGACUUAGGAGAUCUAAAACAAACUGUGACUAGAUGAGGUACGCAAUACUAUGUUACAUUUAUUGAUGAUUAUUCUAGAUUUACUAAAGUUUAUUUACUUAGGCAUAAAGAUGAAGCUUUUGACAUGUUUAUUAAAUAUAAAGCUGAGGUAGAAAAUCAACUGAAUAAAAAGAUAAAAAGAAUUAGAUCAGAUAGAGGGGGUGAAUAUAUACCGAUUAAUGAUAUUUGUGAAAAAGAAUGAAUAAUUUAUGAAAUUACUCUUCCAUAUUCUCCUGAAUCAAAUGGUGUAGCUGAAAGAAAAAAUAGAACAUUAAAAGAAAUGAUGAACUCUAUGCUUGUUAGUUCCAAUGCACAUGAAAAUUUGUGGGGUGAAGCUUUAUUAUCCGCAUGUCAUAUUCAGAAUAGAAUACCUUAUAAGAAAACUAGUAAGACACCUUAUGAAUUAUGGAAAGGUUAUUCUCCUAAUUUAAAAUAUUUAAAAAUAUGGGGGUGUCUAGCUAAGGUAAUGCUUCCUGAAUUUAAGAAGAGAAAAAUUGGUUCUAAGACAUCUGAUUGCAUGUUUAUUGGUUAUGCUGAACAUAGUGCUGCAUAUAGGUUUCUUGUAUUAAAAAGUGAUGUUCUUGAUUGUAAUACAAUUGUUGAAACAAAGAAUGCCGAAUUUUUUGAACAUAUUUUUCCAUUAAGAAUUGAUACAAUUUCUCAUGCACCUUUUAGUAAAAAUGAUUUUGAAAUACAAAAUGAUGAUUUGAGAAGGAAUAAAAGACCAAUUUCUUUUGGUAAUGAUUUUUAUACUUAUCUUGUAGAUAAUGAUCCUUUGACUUAUGUUGAUGCAAUUUCUUCUAAAGAAAGUUUAUUUUGGAAAGAAGCCAUACAAAAUGAGAUUGAUUCGAUUUUACAAAAUCAAACUUGAGAAUUAGUUGAUUUACCACCUGGAGCCAAACCAAUUGGUUGCAAAUGGAUUUUUAAAAGAAAAUUUAGUCUUGAUGAUUUUAUUGAUAAAUAUAAAGCUAGAUUAGUUGCAAAGGGUUUUACUCAAAAACCAAAUAUUGACUAUUUUGAUACUUUUGCUCCAGUAACAAGAAUUGCAUCAAUUCGUGUUUUAUUUGCUUUAGCUUCAAUUUACAAACUUGUUGUUCAUCAAAUGGAUGUAAAAACUGCUUUUUUAAAUGGUGAUUUAGAAGAAGAAAUUUAUAUGACACAACCUGAGCGAUGUAUUGUUCCUGGUCAAGAAAACAAAGUUUGUAAAUUGAUUAAAUCAUUAUAUGGUUUGAAACAAGCACCCAAACAAUGGCAUGAGAAAUUUGAUCAAGUUCUUGUUAGUAAUGGAUUUUCUACUGUUGGAGUUGAUAAAUGUGUGUACACAAAAACUGUUGAUAGUGGAUGUGUGAUUAUUAGCUUAUAUGUUGAUGAUAUGCUUAUUUUUGGUACACGCAUUGAUGUGGUCAAUAAAAUAAAAUGCUUUUUAGCUUCUAAAUUUGACAUGAAAGAUCUGGGAGAAGCCAAAGUUAUUUUGGGUAUUAAAAUCAUAAGAUGUGAUAGUGGCUUAAUGCUAACAUAAGAGCAUUAUGUUGAGAGACUACUUAAAAGGUUUGAACAUUUUGAUGUCACACCUGUGAGUACUCCUUAUGAUAGUAAUAUUCAAUUAAAGAAAAAUAGAGGUGAUAGUGUAGCUCAGUUUGAGUAUGCACAGAUUAUUGGAAGUCUGAUGCAUUUAAUGAAUUAUACUCGACCAGAUAUAGCUUAUGUUGUAUGUAGACUGAGCAGAUAUACACAAAAUCCUAAUAGAGAUCAUUGGACUACCUUGAGUAGGGUGAUGAAAUAUUUGAAAGGUACCAUAAACUAUGAUAUUUUAUAUAAUGAAUUUCCCGCUGUAUUAGAAUGAUACAGUGAUGCUAAUUGGAUCUCAUAUUCAGAUGAGACGAAAUCUACGAGUGGUUAUGUAUUCACCCUUGGUGGCGGUGCUAUAACUUGGAAAUUAGCCAAACAAACAAUAAUUGCUAAAUCUACAAUUGAAUCAGAAUUUGUAGCUUUAAAGUUGGCUGGUAAUGAGGCUGAGUGGUUGAGAAACCUCUUAACAGAUAUUCCGUUAAGAAUGAAACCAACACCUUCUGUGUCCAUGCAUUGUGAUUGCCAAGCGGCAAUAACCAUUUCAAAUAAUAAAACUUUCAAUGGUAAAAAUAGACACAUUCGUUUGAGACAUGAUGUAGUAAAGCAGCUGCUUAGAGAUGGAAUUAUAUCCAUUAAUUAUAUGAAGUCAGAGCUGAAUUUGGUCGAUCCUCUGACUAAGCCCCUAGGAAGAAAAUUAAUUAAUGCUACAUCGAGAGGAAUGAGACUUAAGCCAAAUGAGGAAAUCAACAAAUAGUAGUAACCCAACCUAUGUGAUUGGAAAUCCCAUGAAUUAGGUUCAUAUGGGUAAUAACAAGUUAUUUGUUGAUAAAUUAAUGCACUAUUGAAAGUAUUGUCCCUCCUAUGGUGUGUAAAUAGUGCAAAACUGCAAUGUAAGAAAGGUUGAGUUAAACUCUUAAUGCAUUCCAUAUUCCUUAUGGGUAGUGUAUUAUACUGCAGUAUACACUUGAUGGAAUCAACCUAUAUAAGUGUGGAGUAGGGCAGCUCCUAUGAGAACUAUGGCAAAUUCUCUAGAGCACUUAUGAAUAACCAGGCACGCGCAUGGCCUAUUCGAGCAAAACUGCGUUGAACAGCAGAAAUUGUGAGGGUGUAAUGUGAUUGAUGAAAACUAUAUUUCACAUAAAGAAUUUUGGUUCAUAUAAGUUACAAACUUCACCAAAAUCCUGUGACUUAUAUUUCAUUCUUUCUAAGGGUGGUUCAUAGCUUUAAAAGCACCAGUCACGAUGCAUCACACUCAAAUGAAAUUUGAUCCAACAAAACUUCUUAUAAAAUCUUAUGAAAUAUGUGGGGGAUUGUUGGAAAAUAAUGUAUUUCAUAAGGUUCAAACAUCCCACAUUGCCAAAAUACAUAAAAGGUGAAUGCCUUAUAUUGGGAAAUCAACUAUGGGCUUGUUGCAAGCAAGGAAAACAAAGUGGGCUCGUGCGCAUACAAGAUUGGGCCAAACAGUUAAAAACUUCAGAUUCCCCCCCCCCCUGUGCAAGAGUAUACACGUGGGCUGUGCCCAAGUGACUUUUUGUACCUUAACCUUAUUUUUUUUGAACUUUUUCAGCCUUUGAUUAAAUCAAAGUCCAACUCUACCAUGCUUACCUGAUUCUCCUGGUUUUCCUCAACGUUUAUCCUGGUUUUGCUCUAACGUCUAUCUGACUUGGUAUAAAUGCUGACCAAGUUUUCCUCAACUCCCUCAACUCCUUGAUCUGGUGCAACGUUCACCUUAUUUGGUGCAACAUUCACUUCACUCCAUGCCUAUAAAUACAACCUCACACCCUCACUCACAACAUACACCAAAGCUUUUCUUCUCUAAAGUUAUCUCCCUCUGCCUCUUCUCUUCUCUUAAGCUUCUCUGCUAGGUUUUCUGUUUCUUCUUUUUGCUGUUCCUGUCAUCCCUUAAUAGUUUGUGCAAACUAUAAGGAAGGGUCUGUUGAAUUCUGAAGGAUAACCGCUACAGUCCUUUUGCACUGAGUUUUAUACUCCGAAAGGGCAAAAAUUAUCCUUAAGAACAGUGAUACCACGUCUCAGACCAAUUACUGCUUUUACUAGUUUUAUGUUCCUUUGUUUCUAAUAUUCAUACAACACUCUACAUUUCGCGUAUCGACGGUAUAUACUACGCUUAGCCCUAAAGCGAGUUGCUUGUAAGUGGGAUGUUUUUUGGCCGCUUGGGUUUGAUAGUCGUAGAGAUAGUUGAAAUAAAACAACUGGUUGAAAACGCUGCCCUUCACCAGUGGGUAGUCAGGAUUUUCGAUGGAUUUUUCGGUGAAGAUUUUGAUUGUGAGAAAAGAGAAGAUCAGAAUGAGUGGUGGUAAUGAUAUCAACAAGAAGAUGGCAGAGAAAUUAUCCAUUUUUCCUUUUUCUAAUGAAUACUCUGCAAGGUUAUAGGCCAUAUAUGCAGAUUCUUGUAUUGGGUUGCAUUCAUUUUUCAACCUACCAACAAAAUCAAACCUUUUUCAUCACCAAUAUCUUUCUCAACAACAAAAUCAUUUAUUUAAUAAUUAUAAUGUUUACACGUGUAUGAUUGCCAUUUCAUCAAUUUGAUUUUUCUUGUAAAUUAAGUUGCUGCCACCAUAUCUCAUGCUUCAAAAAAUUUAGAGGAUUGUGCGGAUAAUCAUAAAUUUAUAAUCAUAAUAAUAAUCUAUUUAACUUCUAAAGUGAAUUAACAUAUAUAACUUUAAUCAAGUAAGCAUGAAAAAAGUGUAUCAUUUAAGUUUGGGUCUUGUUUACGAAUACUCUAAGAGCUUUUUUUUAUUGUUAAUUAAAAUAUUAUAAUAAUAUUUUUCUAUUAAAUGCCGUAGUUGAUUGGUAGUGUGAUGAUUUUCAUUAUAUCAAAAACUUUAAAUAAUAUCAUUAAAACAAUAGUUAGUAAAAGGCAUAAUAUUCAAAAAAAGCUUUUAAAUUAUUCAAAAAAUUCAAAUAAAUCUUACUUUUAUUAUAUUCAAUUAUGUUCUUAUAUUUUUAUUUUAGGUCAUAUAAGUCUUUUUAUUUUUUAUUUUUAUUUUGAAUCAAAUAAAUCUUUAUAAGUAAUGAUUAAUUUAGUUAAAAUGUCAUUUAUCAUUCUAUGCUACGUAAUGCUGAUAUGGUAUAUUAACAUAUCAUAAUUAAUGAUGAUGUGAUAUGUUGAUAUAUCAUAAUUGAUAAUAAUGUGACAUACUAAUUUAGCCUAAUACCAUGAUGAUAUUUUUCACCCUCCACAUUAAUACCAUAUUAGUGUUAUAUGGAUAUAAAAUGAUAAAAGAUAUUUUAACUAAUGAAAAUUAGUCAAUCAUUAAUAAUAAGGGCUUAUUUGACCUAAAAUAAAAAUAUAAAGACUUGAUUAAGCAUAAUAAAAGAAUAAAAAUUUAUUUAAAUUUUCUUAAAUAGUUUUAGAGCUUAUUUGAGCAUUAUGUCUUAGUAGAACCAUUUAUGUUUUAAAUUUUUUUUUUUGUUUUUCGCAAAGUAAUUUGUCAUAAACGGAAUAAUGACAUGGCUAUAGAUUAAGUUAGGCUAGAAACUUAUUUCAGCCUUAAAUGAUUAACAAUGAAUUAGGUGAGUCACCUCGCAAGAAACCCUUGUACAAUUCUUAGGAUACCCCUGUUACAUGAUCAAGCUCUCUAUUCUCUAUUUAUUAUUACAAUUGGCGACAACAUUCACCUGCCAACUAUCUAACUCCACAAAACCACCCUCAUCAUAUGUUAAGUUUAACUUAAGAAUAACAAGAUUUGGAAGAAGAUAUUUAAACGGUGAUGCUCAUUCAAUAAUGCCAAUCACUAAUCAAUUAAAAUGGGAAGCCGAAAAUAGAUAAUCCAAGGUACAAAAAAAAAUAAGUUUGUCCUUGAAAAUAUUCGCCAUAUGAAAGGGUUGUUUGAAUUUUGCGGAUGCCAAUUGCCCAGCAUAUUAGACAAAAAGUCAAGAGGCAUAAAUCAGUCCUAUUGGCUUCUUCCACAUUUCAUUUUCUUGAUCACUUUUGUCUUACUACUUUGCUUGAUUCUUUCUACACUCUCCAUUUUUAAUUACAUUUUAUAUAGUUGGGUAAUAGACUUUACGCGCCAUUAAUCAAUGAAGUAUAAUUAUUUCAAUAAUAAGGAGACUUUGAAAUCUUUGGAUUUAUUUUAAUUUUAUAUGAUUGAUUGAAUUAUUUGUAGAUAAAAGAGCUUAUAUAUGAAAAUGACAAAUCUAUGUCAUUAAGCCUAACAACAUCAGAAUUGCAAAUUGGAAGUAUUAAAAAUCAAUAACCCCCAAGAAUUGGCAUCGGUUGUGCGGUACGCAAUUAGAAAAGAAAAUAGAUGAUGUUAUCGCAAUUUUCUUUUUCAAUAUGGUUCACAGAGAGCUCAACUUGACAAAGCAUUGCGAUGAUUAGCUAGCGAGAUCGAGGUACCUCUCUGACCCUGACAACUCACUGCAAGCCAAAGGCAGUCUACAGGAGGAUCCUGAAUUACUGUAAGAAAAAUAAUGGCCCAAAACACAAGCAAAAGCGAAAGUUAUCCAUGGUUGGAGGUCCGCCUCCGCUAUGCCACCAUCAGUGUUGGCUAUGGAGUUACGUUUCGACUGUUGGCCAGAAAUAGUAGAAAUAACAAAUAACUUAUCAAAAAGUGGAGUAUGGGUUAAGCUUAGAAUCAGAAAUUUAUGCAGUUUAUUUAUUUACCGAUCUCCAAUACAAGGUGAACCAAAUUUCAUGUUCAUAAUCAUUAGAAAAGCAAAUCGGAACUCGACAUGAGACAAUCAAGUUGUUAUUCUGCACAAAACUAGAAAAGGAAAGCGGAAGUAAUGUUAUUGCAACCAGCAAGGGGUUGAGCAUUUUUCCAACCGACAAUCUACCAUGUUUCUGGAAAUUGGUUUAAGUUGUCCUAGGAACAGCAUAAAGUUGAAGGCCUCCCCGCAUCUGAAGAGUGAAUGUUACUCUGUAGGUUGCAAUUUUUGUAUCAUCAGCUAAUUUGAAGCGGAAGUAGCGAAUAAGGGCAAUUGAGAAUAUCUUCUCUGCCAGUACGCGAAUUCCUUGCCUAAACAAACUCGAGGGCCCGCCUGCAGGAAGUAAUGCAAAAGCCAAAAGAUAAAUUCUUAGUGUUUGACAAUUAUAUAUGCAUAUAUAUAUAUAUUAAAAGGGAAAAAGAGUUCAAACAUGGAAUGCCACGAAUUUGAAUGGCGAUUCGGGUUGGAAAACUCCGUCUUUAAACCAUCGUUCUGGUCGAAAAACCUCAGCGUCCUCUCCCCAAAUGGAAGGCAUUCUACCCAUGGAAUAGGCCAGAUAGGUAACCUCAUCUCCUUUCCUGACUUUGUGUCCAUCGGGAGAAUGUCAUCCGCCAGUGAACACCUUCCAUCCUUGAUGUACAAUAAAGAUACCACAUUUACCCACGUAAGUAUGUAAUUAUUUAUUUAUGAUUUUUCUUUUCAUGAAGAAAUGCCUAUAAUUAAGAUAUUGUAAUUAAUAUUGUCAAUCCAUAUAUUAGAAAAACAUAAAUCUUAAAUCUUAAACUUCAAACCUUACUAUUUUCAGCAAUUUUAGCAUGAAAUAUAGCAAAAAUCAAUCUAUGAAGAUUUUCAGCAAAUUUACCGGAGGGACUGUGGGGUACAGUCUUAAGGUCUCUGUUAAUGCUGCAUGAAGAUAAUGCAUUUUCUCAAGAGUUGCAUCGGUUAUGGUUGUGAUGAAGUCAUCAACGCUAGCAUCAUUUCCUUGGCUGCAAGCGAUGUCCAUCACCUCUUGUGCAACUUUUUCUUGUAUCAAGCGGUGCUUGCAGAGCAUGUAGACGAACUAGGACAAAGUGUUGGCACUAGCAUCUUUGCCAGCAAUCAAGAAAUUCAAAAUUAUGUCCCUUAGAUAUUGAUCAGUCAUUGUUUCAGGAUUCUUCACACUCUCGAUCAAAAACCUUGAAAGUAUGUCUUCUUUGACAUUCUUAAAUUCCCAAAAAAGAAAAAAUAAUCAACUUUUAGCAACAAAAAACAAGAACUCAUCUACUGUUACAAAGACUUGAAAAAUACAAGAGAACAUAACUACAUCGGAGUUACAGCCAAACACUAGUGGACAAUUACUAGAUUACUAAAAUUGUUUGGACAGAAAUUAGGUUGAUCUUAUUGUGAAUCCCUCCAUAGGAGAGUGAUAAUUAGAUAUCGACCAUAAGAUGAACUCUAAGGAAAUUUUAUAAUAACAAAAAUAAAAUAAGAUUCUGUUAGAUUAAUGUAUUGAGUCGCCCUAAAUUGAUAAUACAAGUUUCAUCUGGGCGCUGUAUGGUGUGGAAAAGGGUCGGUGCUGUCGGGAUGCUGGGCAAUUAGCCCUGUGUGGUAGGAGUUUCUGGAAAACAGACUAGUGAUUACUGUGUUUCCCAACUCCAUCCAAUAUGUAUCAUGUUCAUGCAUUAAUAAAGUAUUGAUUUAACAAAAAAUAUAUAUAUAUAACCACAAAUUUAAUUAGAGGAAAAUAUGACUCACACGAUCUGGGUAGCAGUUUCUUCUUGGUGCUUAUAACAUUGUGAAUAAAAUUAUCAAUGACUUUGAUAUUCUUCUUGAGGGAGGCUUCAGAGCCAAUAUUAAGAGCCCUUUUCAGCUUCCAAAAAGGAUCCAUAUAGCGCAUGUACACCAGCUCAUUGGCAUCAUCAAAAGCCUUCACAAAGGUAGUUCCUUCUUCACUUGACCCUUCCAUGCAAUUUAAAUCAAUUCCAAACCCAACUUUGAACAUCGAUUCCAUUGUGUAUUUCAUCAACAUGUCCUACACAACAAGAUUACUCCAUAACUUAAACACUCAAAAUUUGACCUUUUGCUCUCUGUUAAAAAAAAAAAUGAAAAAGAUCGAGUUACUCCCUUGGAAUUUCAUAGCCUGACCCAACCGCGUCAUCUCUGAAACAGCUCUAACCAGUUUGACAGCAUUUUUUCUGAAAACAGAGCUACUAAAAUCUCUAAGAACUCUCGUCGAGAACUCGAAGCUCGCAAGCUUACGCUGCUGCCGCCACUUGUCUCCAUCCACCGCAAAAAUCCCUUGUCCCCAAAGAUCUCUAACAAGUUCUUGGUGAUAUGCACCCUUUGCAUAUUUGUCAAAAUUUGUUUUCAAAAUGUGCUCUACGUUUCGCGUAUCGACGGUGAAGAUUAGACUAUACGCAAAAUCAAGUAACCUAAAAGUGGGCAGUUUUUUGGCAAUUUGGGUUUAGUAGUCGUAGAGAUAGUUAAGGUAUAAGAGCUGGUUGAAAACACUGCCCUUCACAGGGGCAUAGUUAGGAUCAUUGAUGGAUUUUCCAGUGAAGAUUCUGAUCAGGACAAAAGAAAGGAUCAGAAAAAGAAAGAGUAGUGGCAAUGAUAUCAACACGAAGAUGGUAGAUAAAAUCUCCAUUAUGAUUUUCUGAUGAAUACUCUGUAAGAAAGCUGUGAUCACAGCCACCUACUUAUUACUUGAAUCAAGGGAUUCCUUCAUUAUUAAAUAACACAGAAAAACCCAAUCCUCUACAUCACCAAUAUGUUGCCAAUGUUCAUGCAUACGUCAUUAAUUGUACCAAUCUGAUUUUUCUACGAUACAAUUAUUAGCCUCAUCGAACCAAAGUUGAUGUCACUUACCUCAAAGUUUUAAAUAAUACUGAUACUAUAUGAUUUUGGACAAAUAAUACCAACUGGAUAUAAUUUCUAACAAAGUACCAGCCACCAACUCCACUUAUAUCCAAUUGUUUUAAAACGAAUAAACAUUAUUUAGACGUCAAGAAAGGUUACGAAAAGAAACUUCCACUAUAAUGAAUUUUAGCUUUAAUUAUAUUUGUUUAGAUAAGGUAUCUUUUUCUAUAAUGAAAUCUUCAAUUAUAGAGUUGUUUAAUCUUUUAAUUGUAUUUUUUCACAGUUAAUAACAAUAUCAAAAGUACCAUCUCUGUUAGUAUAUACAACCUUUAUAGUUACAUUUUAUUUAUAACACUGUUAAAAAGUUUUGUAGUGCUGUCAAAUUUAUAAAAUUAAUAUAAAAAUUAUAAUCUUAAAUCGAAUUUAUUAUAGUGUUCUAGAAUCAGAAGAGUACAAAAGAUGGAAAUAUAUAUAUAUAUAUAACACGUAAAAACAUUGUCCUUAUUACAAGUUACAACAACAACAAUAUUGAAGGAAGGAGACAAAUAAAUGCAGGCAGAUAAACUCACGGGUUUUGGGCACGGAUCAGGUUGCUUCAUUUUAGCUUGGUUCUAGAUUCAGUGGUUGUAUAUGAUGUCUUAUUCAAUUCUAGUUUCAGAUUUAUGUUGGAAUAAGUUCAAAAGCCAAUCACAUAGAUUGUAGUGGGUAUUCUUUGUUAAUUAAUUUAUUAUAACAUUUUAUUAUGGAAUAAGAGAUAUUUCUUUAUCCAUAAAUUGCUUCAUAAUUAGCUACUUUAAUUUAUAAAGGCAAAGCCCUUGGAACAAAUGUACAAAGAAUUAUAAGUGAGUUAUAAUUAUAAGAUCCUUAUGCAUCAAAGUACUAUUCUGAAAUAGUUUAUAACCAUUGUAUUAUCAAAAUAGGACAUUGAUAAUACUCAAAGGCCAACACAUGUUAUGCUUCUUACUUGUAAAAUGAGCAACUAAUCUCAUAAGUUGAAAUAUAGAAAUACUUAGAUCUAACAUCUAGGUGCUUGUAUAGAAUGUAGGUUUAUUGAACAUGACUCACCAUGAGAAAUCUAUUUGAUAACACACUAAUGUUUAUGGAACACUUCUUAUGAAUCAGUCGUAUAAGUACUCCCAAGAUUUGAGAUGCCAAGUUAUUUUAUGUGUGGAGUACUAUACUUUGACUUCAUCUCUCUAGAUCCUAAAUAAGGAUAUUUAAAAAGGAUGAAUAUUGUGUAUAGUAUGAAGCACAUAAAAACAAAUGAGUGACCAAGAGUGGAAUAAUCACUCCAAGUGAUUUAAAAAAUAUAUUCUAUUUGUUUUUUUAUACAUACUAGUCAUAUGAAAUCUUUAGCCAAUGCAACUUAGAAAUUAGGAAAGGAGUUUCCUAAGUCUUAGACAAAACUAGUGGUGAAGCUUAAAAGAACCAAAAGAAAAGGAUAUGAGAGUAGACACUGUACCAUACUUUCGUUUCUUUUAAGAUAUAUAUGAUAAGAGAAUUAAUUAUACUAAUAAAUUGGACAUUAAAAGGUUGUCAAAGAACCUUUUACUCUCCUUACAAUUGGGUGAUCAUGAUAGGUUCCUAGAUCCCAUUUAUGGUCUAUAAUCAUAAAGUAGUUGAUAUGAUCAAUGAUAAAUUCAAAGUAGUUUGAAUUUAUCUAAUCAUAAAUUUAAUUGUAGAUUACAUUCUAAGAUCAUUGUCAACAUGUUAUGAACCUAAUGGAUCACACACAAUAAGUUGCAAUAAGAAUUAAAUUGAAAUUGUGAUGAUUUAAGUUGGACUUAAAUUAUACACUAAGUUUUAAUUUUCAAAGAUUUAAUUAAAAUUAGUUUAAUUAAGUAUAGGGUCAAUAUUAUAAGUAGUUAUAAUAUUGAGGCCUUCAAUAAAAACCAAAGCUAUCUUUUAAACUAGGUAUAAAAGCUCACUUUUCAUCCAUUCUUCACAAGUUGUUGAACAUACACAAAACCUAACUACUCUAGCCACCGACCCUUGUGAAAAUUCUUAGUGAAGAGAUUUUCUUGUGGCAUAAGGCAAAAAGUGAGUGAGGAGUGAAAAGGACAAUCGGUUGUCCACAUUGCUAGCACAUUGAUGUGGUUGAAAAAGAUUUUAUUGUAAUCGUGUGUGCAACCAUUGAAGGUCAAACAAUUGAGUGGCCCGGGUUCUCUUUUUUUUUUUGUGGUGUAUCGUGAGUUCAAAAAGGAGAAAAAAGAUGUCAUCGUGAUUACCAUAUCACUUAACUAGGUAAUAUUAUUUUCAAAAUAUUACUUUUGUUUGAUUGUGUUAAAACACCAAAAAAAUUCAAGGGAUACGACAUAAAAAAAUUCUGUUUUAUUUUAUUUUAUUUCAAUCUAUUUAUUUCAUUGCGUAUGUGCAAUUCGAUCACACUCUCAUGCCGUUUUUCUUACAAUAUAUAUGACCGACGUGCUAAACUUAAAGGAGGCAUCUCUUUGUACUAACACUUUGAAGUAUUUUGGCGUAAUCCAAUAUCUUACCUGCAUGCACAUGUUUCUUAGGUUAGUAACUGAAUUCAUUAUUGGCAAGAAUUGGCCUUUGACUGAAGAGAAAAUAAAGUGGAAAAAUGAAGGAAAAUUAAGUAGGUGGUAAGGAAAGCUGAAGGGAAUCGAAAUACAAUUGCUCAAAGAGAUCCUGGAGAGAAGAACAGAAUCGAAAAAGAAAUGAAAGUUUAAUGGGUUGCACUUUCUUUUUCCUUUUCAUUUCCAUUUUUCUGAAAGUUCAACGGAAGUAGACAUAUGCCUCACGGGCUUAACAGCAUUAUUUUCGGCUGAGAAAAAAGAACUAUGUAUAUAGGAACGUAGGCUAGAAUCUAGCUCGCCUGACCCUGCCCAUGAACUUCAAUGUUAGGCUUUGUGUACAUCAAUGAUCCAACCCUAAACUGAAAAGGCCCAACACACAAGCAAAAACAAAAGUUAUUUAUGGUCGGAGGUCUAUCUCCGCCAUGCCACCAUCAGUGUUGGGGCAUGGAGUUACGGCUCAACUGUUGGCCAGAAAUAGUAGAAAUAAAUAAAUAAUUUGUCCUAAAUGGGAAAAUUAAAGAAAGAUUAGAAUAGGGAAUUAGCCAACUAUCAAAAGUGGAGUAUGGGUUAAGGUUAGAAUCAGAAAUUAAUGCAUUGGAUUUGUUUUACCGAUCUUCAAUACAAGGUGACCCAAAGUUUCAUCUUCAACAUCAUUAGAAAAGCAAAUCCGAAGUCGACUUGAAACAAUCCAGUUGUUGUGCUGCACAAAACAAGAAAAGGAAAGUGGAAGUAAUGUUAUUGCAACCAGCAAGGGGUUGAACAUUUUUCCAACCGACAAGUUAUCAUGUUUCUGGGAAUUGGUUUAAGUUGUCCUAGGAACAGCACAAAGUUGAAGGCCUCCUCGUAUCUGAAGAGUGAAUGUUACUCUGUAUGUUGCAAUUUUUGUAUCAUCAGCUAAUUUGAAGCGGAAGUAGCGAAUAAGGGCAAUUGAGAAUAUCUUCAUCUGCCGGUACGCGAAUUCCUUGCCUAAACAAAUUCGAGGACCCCCUGCGGGAAGUAAUGCAAAAGCCAAAACAAAAAUUGACAAUAAAGAUACAUACGUGUAGAUAUAUUUAUUAAGAAGAGAGUUCAAACAUGAAAUGUCACGAAUUUGAAAGGCGAUUCUGGUUGGAAAACUCCAUUUUUAAGCCAUCUUUCAGCCGAAAGACCUCAGCGUCUUCUCCCCAAAUGGAAGGUAUUCUACCCAUGGAAUAGGGCACAUAGGCAACCUCAUCUCCUUUCUUGACUUUGCGUCCAUCCGGGAAAAUGUCAUCCGCCUGUGAACACCUUGCAUCCUUGAUGUACAAUAAAGAUACCAUAUUACCCACGUUUGUAUGUAAUUAUUGAAAUGCUAUGAAGAAAUGCCUAUAGUUAAGAUGUUGUAAUAUGACCCAUCCAUAUAUUACAACAACAGAAAUCUUAGAUCCUAAGCUUCAAACGGUAGUAUUUUCAGCACAAUAAGCACGAAGCAAAAAUCAAUCUAUGAAAAUUUUCAGCAAAUUUACCCGAGGGACUGGAGGGUACAGUCUUAAGGUCUCUGUUAAUGCUGCAUGAAGAUAAUGCAUUUUCUCAAGAGUUGCAUCGGGUAUGGUUGUGAUGAAGUCAUCAACGCUAGCAUCAUUUCCGUGGCUGCAAUUGAUGUCUAUAACUUCUUGUGCAACUUUUUCUUGUAUCAAGGGGUGCCUGCAGAGCAUGUAGAAGAACCAGGACAAAGCAUUGGCAGUAGUGUCUCUGCCAACAAUCAAGAAAUUCAAAAUUAUGUCCCUUAGAUAUUGAUCAGUCAUUGUUUCUGGAUUCUUCUCACUCUCCAUUAAAAACCGUGAAAGUAUGUCUUCUUUGACAUUCUUAAAUCCCCAAAAAAUAAUCAACUUUUAACAACACAAAACGAGAACUCAUCAUGUACAUUACUGUUGGCAUGACUUUAAAAAAAUAAAUUAAAUGUGCUAUACCUUUAAUUAUUUAUCUCUUUUUAAUCAAUUGAAAUUUUGCUUAUUCACCUUUUACUUUGUUAUAUAAAAAAUUUAUAAAAAAAAAAUAACGAAAGCAUUAACUAUCCAAGUCAUAAUAAGUUUAAACAACCACCAAAUUUAGGGCAAAAUAUGACUCACAGGAUCUGGGUUCAUUGCUAGCAGUUUCUUCUUGGUGCUUAAAACAUUGUGAAUAAAAUUAUCAAUGACUUUGAUAUUCUUCUUGAGGGAGGCUUCGGAGCCAAUGUUAAGAGCUCUUUUCAGCUUCCAAAAAGUAUGGAUAUAGCGCAAGCACACCGACUCAUUGGCAUCAUCAAAAGCCUUUACGAAGGUAGUUCCUUCUUCAAUUGACCCUUCCAUCCAAUUUAAAUCAAUUCCAAACCCAACUUUGAACAUCGAUUCCAUUGUGUAUUUCAUCAACAUAUCCUACGCAACAAGACUACUCCAUAACUUAAACACUCAAAAUUUGACCUUUGGCUCUCUGUUUUAAAAAAAAAAAAAAAAAAAAAAACAGAUCGAGUUACUCACUUGGAAUUCAAUAACCUGUCUCUACGCCGUUAGCUCCGGAACAGCUCUAACCAGUUUGGCAGUAUAUAUUCUGAAAACAGAGCAGCUAAAAUCUCUAAGAACUCUCGUCGAGAACUCGAAGCUCGCAAGCUUCCGCUGCUACCGCCACUUGUCUCCAUCCACCGCAAGAAUCCCUUGUCCCCAAAGAUCUCUAACAAGUUCUUGGUGAUGUGUACCCUUUUCAUAUUUGUUAAAAUUUAUUUUCAAAACGUGCUCUAUGUUUCGCGUAUCGGCUGUGAAGAUUACACUACGUGCAAUACCAAGUAACCUGAAAGUGGGCAGUUUUUUGGCAAUUUGUGUUUGGUAGUCGUAGAUAUGGUUAAAGGAUAAGAGCUGGUUUAAAACACUGCCCUUCACCGGGGCGUAGUUAGGAUCAUUGAUGGAUUUACCGGUGAAUAUUCUGAUAAUGAGAAAAGAGAGGAUUAGAAAAAGGGACAGUAGUGGCAAUGAAUUUAAUAUCCGUCCAUGGAUGCUGAAGCAUAAAUUGCAGUACAGUCUACCAUGAAGAAAGAAAGAUCAAUGAACAUGAACCAGGAACCAGGAACCAGGGGCCAAUGUUUCAUUGCAAACCAGCAAAUGCAGAACGACAAGAACCAGGAUCUCGAUCAUAUCUUAUUAAAUUCUAAUUUCAUAUAGGACCAACAUUCUAAGCUGUCGAGGAGGCAUCUCGAUCUUUGUACUAACACUUUGAAGUAUUUUGGCAAGCAAUUCUUCAUGCGCUGAAAUUCAUUGAAUCAUCCUUGGAACAGCACAAAUAUGAAGGCUUUUGUUCAUUUGAAGAGAGAAGGGGGUCCUAUAAGUUAUAUUUUCCAUGCCAUCCGCUAAUUUGAAGCGGAAGUAGCGAAUAAGAGUAAUCGAGAAUAUCUUCAUCUGCCGGUGCCGGUAGCCUAAACAAAUACGAGCACCCGCCUGAAAAAAAAAACUAGGAUAUUAAUUGUAGAACAAUUACAUAGAUCCAUAUACAUAUAAAUUGAGAAAAAAAAAAAGAAUUCUGACAUAAAAUAUUAUGAAUUUGAAAGGCGAUUUGGGUUGAAAUAAAUAGAUUAAAGGAGUAAUAAAUAAUGGUUUAUAAAAUAAAUAACAAUCCUUAUCCUUGCAUCACAUGAAUUACAACUAUUUAAUGAAAAGGAAAAGAAUAUUACGUAACCACAUCACUCUCGUACUUGAGGGGAACCUUUGGGAGGGAAAUGCGACCUAAUUAAUUGAUAAAAUUAUUAUUGUCAUAUGAACGCAAUCUUUUUUCCUUUUUUAUUUUCUUUUAAUUAACAAUUUUGUCUUAUUAUAAUCAAAAUAUUUUGCUUGUACGAAACAUUUAAUAGUUAAUUAAUCACUUUACUUUUGAACCCGAUUUUGGCAAGUUCUUUACAAUAAAAAUCUGAAUUAAGCUUACCCUAAUUAAAUCGGUUUAAUUCGAUUCAUGAGCACCUUUACAAUUAUCCAUAACCAUCCUGUUCAAAGUCCAAUUUGGACUUUAUAAUUAGAAUCUGUUAAAGAGGGCUGAUUAAUCAGACAUAACUCUGAAAUAACCAAGUAGGAUUUCUCAUUAAACCAAGUAAAAAUAGAAAAAUAUAUGGUAGAGUGGGCCCAAGUUAUCUGGGCUACAAUCCAGGCCCAUGGAAAGCUCUAGGCUCAAAUGACAUGGGCGGGUUCUAAAAUUCAAAUUCCUGAUCAUCGCCCAUACCGUCUUCCCCUGCUGCUUCUCCCUGAUUUCAAUCCCCGAAUCCUUGUACAAUCUCUGGAAAGGAAAAGAAGAAAUCAAUUUGGGCAUCGUUUCGGAAUCAGGGAAAUGAUUUCCCAAAGCGAAGAAGGAGAAGGAAAUCCAAAACGAAAAUGGUCCUUGGAAGACUUCGAGAUCGGAAAACCCCUGGGCAAAGGCAAAUUCGGUAGAGUCUAUCUCGCCAGGGAAGUCAAGGUACUCCCCUCUCUUCUUCUGUUCUUCUUUUUUUCCGUCGUUAAAACGCCUUCUCUAUUCACUCCAAAUGUUCUUGAGGGGGAUUCUUUAUAUCGUUUUGUAGAGCAAAUACAUUGUGGCGUUGAAGGUUAUAUUCAAGGAACAGAUAGAGAAAUACAGGAUCCACCAUCAGUUGAGGAGAGAAAUGGAAAUUCAAACCAGCCUUCGUCACCCUAAUAUACUGCGGCUUUACGGUUGGUUUCACGACAGCGAACGAAUUUUCUUGAUUCUUGAGUAUGCUUUUGGGGGUGAGCUUUAUAAGGAGCUUAGAAAAAAUGGUCAUCUCAGUGAGAAGCAAGCUGCCACAGUAAUGACCCAAUCUCCAUUUUUUUCAACUUAUAUAUAGAUUUUGGUUUCUAAAAUUGUCACGAUUUUUGAGUUUUUUUUUUUCAGUACAUUGCAAGUUUGACAAAAGCGUUGGCAUAUUGUCAUGAGAAACAUGUAAUUCACAGAGAUAUCAAGCCGGAAAAUUUGCUGCUUGAUCAUGAGGUAAGCCGCUGUCAUUUCAUUUCUUUUUUCUUCUUAAUUUGGCAUGCACUUGUUUUCCAUAACUGUGCCCUGUUCAGAAAUCCAUUCAAGAAGUAUAAAUUGGUCUGUCUGAUAUGUGCAUUAGGCCAGCAUGGGAAUUUUUGUCUGAAAUCAAAUCUUGGGUUUAAUGUUCUGUUGAUUGUGUCUGAAUGUAAGUAAUUCCACUAUUACUGUACAGGGUCGGUUGAAGAUUGCAGACUUUGGAUGGUCCGUACAGUCAACAAGCAAGAGACGCACAAUGUGUGGAACUCUGGAUUAUUUAGCGCCAGAAAUGGUGGAAAACAAAGCUCAUGAUUAUGCAGUUGAUAACUGGACUCUAGGCAUCCUUUGCUAUGAGUUCCUCUACGGUGCUCCUCCAUUUGAGGCCGAGAGUCAAAGUGAUACAUUCAAAAGGUAUGCAGGAAUGGGUGGUUUCUUGAUAUUUUAUCUAAUGUAGAUUGGAAUAUGGUGUGGUGACCAAGGUAGUGACCCAAGCUGUACAUUACAGGAUCAGGGACGUUGACCUGAGCUUCCCAUCCACGCCUCAUGUCUCAAUGGAGGCUAAAAAUCUCAUCAGCCGGGUAACUCUCCCCACCAGUCCCUCAACUACCUUUAAAUAGACAUUGGUUAUGAAGAAUGAAUGUAAAUAAUUUGACAUCUGAAAUUCCAAGUACUUGAAUCUUAUUUGCAGCUUCUUGUGAAGGACUCUUCAAAACGGCUCCCUCUUCAGAAGAUUAUGGAACACCCUUGGAUAAUCAAGAAUGCAGAUCCUAUGGGUACCUGCAAAAAGUAGGACCUUUUUCAAGUUUCAGAUGUAAUGCUAUAAGGCUGUCAAAAAUGACUAGCAUAGUGUGCAAAUACCUGUGAAUGUAUUGUUCAAACUUGGAGAAGACCAAAGUGGGUUUCAAAGGUUUUAUUGUAACCCUCCAUCAUUGUAUACUCUAAAGGCAAGGGUCUUUUUGCUAUAUUAAACUUUCUGCAUAUCUUUAACUUUUGUCAAUCCCAUUGUUGGAAAUAAGUGAGUGCAGAAGUUACAGUUAUGUUUCUCUGAUUUGCUUAUAUCUAUGCAUAGUGUAAAUUUAUAAGAUAGUGAAAUGUGACAAAAUCAACACAAACCAAAUAUAUUUCAGAUGUGAAAAUAUUCAUGGCGUCGCCCGGACUCGAACCGGAGACCUUCAGUGUGUUAGACUGACGUGAUAACCAACUACACCACGACACCACAUGAUGAAAAGCAGACAAAGAUAGCAAAUCGUUUGUUAUGGGGCUGUUAACGGUCCCGCACGAAAUUCAACCUUCCUACACAAGAAGAAAAGGAAGAAGCCUUAAUAGUUAAUGGGAUUUCAGUUUUUUCAUGAAAAAAUUGAUCUUAAACAAAACUUCUAAGGCCAUAGCCAGCGUUCACUUCCUCGGACACUUGUUUUGCCAGUUCCAUUGCUUUGGGUUUAUUCAACAACUUAGCUCUCUUUUGUCCAGAAUGGUGAGUCGAAAAUAAGUCAAAGCGUGAUGAACUCCCCAGCCGCUUCUCAUGAACAUCAGGUGCCACUUGAGGAUCAUAUCCCGCAGAAGCCAUUAACAUUAACCUGAUGUAAUCUGCCUCUGCCUCCCUCCUUCAGUUCAAAAACAAAGAGAGAGAAAAGAAAUUAAGAUGAAUGCAAUUGUUACUUCAUAUUGGAGGAAAACUGAAUUAAAUUUCCAGCAUGUCACUAGGAACUUCUACAUAAUCUUCUAGAAGAACAAGAAAAACCAAGUCCUAGAGGCUAAAAUCAGGGUAAUCAUGUUUAGCAGAAAUCAAGCACACAGCAAAUAGUUACUAAUUAGUAGAUGCAUGAACCAUUUGGCAACAAGCAGGAACCCAGCAUAUGUAAUGUAAUAGAUAGCUGAGAGGACAUAAAUACAAAUUUUUUUUUUUGAAAGAUAGAAUUUUGUUAAUGAUAUAAGCUAGAAUGCCAUGGAGAGAGACUCCUUUGGGCAUCGAAAUUUGGUACCGUAUAGUUAAGCAGCCUUGAACAGGUUUGUGAAGUGAUCUUGUACUGAUGUUGGAGCACUAAUCCUUUAUCCAUUGCUUGAAGUAUCUUUCUAGCAAUGGACUGAACCCGAAUGGCACGAGGAUCAGAUGGGGGCAGAAAUUUCCCUUUAAGUUCCUUCUCAAACCUCUUCCAUUGAUAUUCCCCAACUUCUUCUCCAGUUUAUCAGAUAGUGCGUGAUGAAACCUUUCUGAGUAUGGAACUCUUUCUAUAUUACCCCCAAAAAUUAUGACCAACAAACAAGAACCCACUAGAGCAGUAGUAAUUACCUCACCAGCAGUACACUUUCCUAAUGAAACCCUUAAAAUGGCUCUAGCCAAGUAUUUUGUAGCACUUUCUGAGGCCCUGACAAGGGCCCUGGAUGUUCUUUGCGUUUGUGAGUUCGGAUUGGAAUGAUGAAACCUCCUUGUUCCUCCAAUAAAACCAUGUGAAAUUAGUCGUCCGGUACCGUCAGCACCAGCCAAGGACACUGCAGAAACCAGAUGGAACCUUGUUAAACUCGCUCCGGAAAGUAAAGGGCUAUGGCCUUGGGGCUUGAACCCUUGGAAUCGAUGGUGAAAUCCGGCUUGAACAAAAAGAUCGAGAAGCAUUCAAAAAUAUCGGCUUUGUUUUCAGUUUCAUGUAGGAAAAAACUUGACUAUGGAAUCUGAACUUCCACCAAUAUCAAGUGAUUUCUUCUCUGUGAUUGUUGACUACUUGAAGGAAGACCAAUAAGAGUUAAUACAAUCCCAUUGCCCUUUUUUCUAUAUUUCUCUUUUUUUUAAAAUAAAUUGUUGCUUGUUAAACAAGAAACCUCUCUCCUUUUUUUACCUCGAGGUGAACUCUUUCCAUCAUCAUGAUUUUAUUAAUUUAAUUUAUGGUUGGAAAUUUAAAAAAUUACUUAGAAGAAUUAUGAGUAAUAAUUAACAAUGAUCUCAUUGUUAUCACUAAUUAAAAAUAUAAUGAGUAUCGUGUAUUAUUUAUAUUUGAAUUCAAAAAAAUUUUAAAUAGUAAAAUUAUUAUUCAUCACAGGUUUGAGUAGUGAUAUUAAAAUAUUUAUUAUUUUAAUUUAUUAUAAAUAAUAAUUUUUAACAUUAAAUUUUAAUUUUAUAUUUUUUAUAAAUAUUUUAUAAUUAAGGUAAUAUUUAUUAAAGUUUAUUAAUUAUCCUAAAUAUGAAUUUAAAUUUAAAUUUUUUUAUGAACUUUAAUUUAUUAAUUUACUUUUUAUUAAUAAUAUACAUAAAAAUUAUUUUAAAUUUAUUAUAAUUGAGUAUUUAAUGAGUUCGAAUAUUUAAUAUAUCUAAAAUAUUCAAGUAUAGGUUCAAGUAAUAAUUUUAUAACUUAAUUGAAAUAUUAUAAGAGUUCAAUAUCUUAUCAAAUAAUAAAAUUCGGAUUAAAAUAUCUAAAAAUUACAAAUAUCUUAACUGUUAACAUCCCUAUACUUACAAGUAAUUUUAUAUAUUUUUUAGAAAAAAAAUUAUUCUCAAUUAAAUUUAUUAUUUCAAACCGUUAAAAAAAAUCUUUUAAAAGAGAAAUGGAAACAGAAUUCCUUUGGGAGGAUGAAAAAAUAUGAAACUAACUAAUACCGGCUGCGCUUGAAACUCCCAAGUAACAACACAAACUGGUACGCACUAAAAAACACUACAAACUCUUAUAGGAUCUGAGUAAAGUUAAGCAGAGAUUCAUCACAGAUCUUCCAACUAAUGGCAAUUGCAGUACAAGAUUGAAUAGAAAUACCCAAUGGGAAAAUUAAAACAUUGGAGUAUAAUCAAGGAGCUUAUACAAGGCCAUGUAUCAAGGAACUCAUCUGCUUUUGCCCACCAGAACACACUAAGGAAGGCACCCUUUCUCAUCUUAACAAAAUUUUCAAAUGCAUUGGUACAUGAAAAAGAGGUCAGAGAUCUGAUCAAAAAGAAGAAAUGUGCCGGGCAUGAAGCUUCGCUGAUCACCAUUGAUCUCCGACUUCUUGAGUAUAGCUCACUGCAGAAUGACACCUAAUACUCUCGCUUGUCUUUAUGAAGAAACACCUCAAUCAUCUUGAGUUGGCAUAAAAGUGGAUCUAAACUCAAAAAAGGUUUAACCUUCCACAAAUAAGAUCACAUCAAGAAACAUUACCAUUCUCGAAGACAGUGAUGGUGGUGUCACUGAUGGUAGUCUCACUGCUACUGCUCGUACUUUUUUCAUCUUGUGUAAUCAGAUGAGGACUCGGAAUUGAAAUAGAAAGGCUGGUGCUCAGGACUGCACAAGCUGCUUUGCUGGCUACUGUUAAUCUACUAGGUGGGCCAAUAGUAGGAACGGCAACAGGCUGAGAAACCUCCACAUGCUUUUUUGCACCUCUGUGCAUGUGCCGCGCACAAUAUUUCUGAUCAGGAAUAACAUCUCUGCUGCACCGCCAUUUUUUCCCAUCUGUUCUCCUACAUCUCCCUGGUUCAAGUUCCAUUUCGUUUUUGUAACCAUGGGAACUGUUGCAGCCUAGAACUGAAAUAAUAAUAACAAGAAAAGUCAUUCUAAUUAGUGUCAAAAGGGUUCUACAAGGGAUUAAACUGUUAUGUUCAAUGCUGUGCAUAACAAUACAUGGUGAUUAGAACUAAUUCUAUUCAGAUAGUACAAGCACUAAUAACAAUGAUUAUGGUAAUAGACUUCACACUGCCCAGCACUUUGGAGCAUGUAUAUCAUAAUCAUGAACUUCAAAAACUAAAAUGUUUUAGAAAAAAAAGGUAGAAUAACAUAAAUAUAAAGAACCUUCUAAAAAAUCUUUUGGGCAAAAAAUUACAUGCUAACAUACAAGAGUGGCAAACAAUGGGGACCAUCAAAUGAUUCAUACAAGUAAAAACCAUGAACCCAUGCAGUUUAAGCAAAUUUGAAAGACUUAUAAAUUAAAUGAUAUAUAAAAUAUCAUAGCCAAAUCAGAAAGGGGAUAGGAGGGUCCCGAAAAUGGGCUAGCUUUAGGAAUGAUAACAAGAGCAUUAUUUCAGUUUUUACAACACUACCUUGAAGAACACUCUUUGGAGAAAAGCCCACACCAGGGGAUAUACUAUUACCAACAGUGGCAUUGUUUCCAAUCUUGCUGCUUUUAUUGAUGAUAAUAUUAUCACUAACAGAGUGUUUCUCUUCUCUCUUCUUUUUAGUAUUUGGGAAGUUUUUGUUCCUUUUGCAAUCAUUUUUCUCAUCAUUGUUUGUUGCGGUAAUGAUGGUAGUGCUAGUGGUGGCAAUUGUGGAAAUGGAGUUCCUAUUGCUCCACACAUUGUUGCUAUCCACAGCAGUGGUAGCAGUUCUCUCAUGGCUGGUGCUGGUAUUACACGAAGAUGGGUUCGUGUAUUGAGAACUUACGGUGGCUGAAAGGUUUUUUGAGUUUUCUGAUUCUUUAUUUGAUCUUCUUGAUAGAGUUGUAUCAGGCAAAGUAAAUUGAGAAGAUUCCACAGGCUUUCUUGAACGCUGACGACCCCUAUGCAUGUGCUGCGCACAAUACUUCUGAUCAGGAAUCACAUUCUUACUGCACCGCCAUUUCUUCCCAUCAGUUCUUCUACACCUCCCUGGCUCGGGAUUCAUCAUGCUCCUAUAAUCAAAUCCCUGAGGACUGAAUCCUACAACUGAAACAAGAAAAGCGAAAUAAGUAUUCUAAUUCUUCGUCCUAAUUCACAUCACCGAAACAAAACAUUUUAUUGAAAGAAAAACUCCCUUUCAAUGUCUGUCCGGCUAAAUUUAAACUAAUGUGGACCGAAUUCAUCUAAUAAUUUAACUUACGUUAAAAUUGAUCGAUGAACCUCAAAUUCCAAGUACAAGUAGGCAAGACCUUGUCAAGCUUACAACGAGACUCAAUUUCCCAGGAAUAAUUAACAUUUAAUUUAUGCUUAACAAUUAACAGAAGACGGUCGCAAAUUCCAAGCCUAAUUAACAUAAAAACAUCUUUUCUUUUCUUUCCGAUAAUUGAACAUCAACACAUUCAUGAAAAAUUAAAAAUAAACAAAAUAAAUUAACCUCGACUUUUAAGAGUAACAAUCUCCAUGAAACUUGCUCUGACAAAUUCAUGAAAGAAAAAGCAAACAGAAAUUUCUAACGAACAAACAGAAAACAUAAGAAACUCAAUCUAACAAAAAAAAAACAAAUUCCAUAACAAAAAAAGAAAGAAAAAUUCUGACUCUAGGGAAGAGAAAAGUUACAAAGAAGAAAGCUUACAGCUUGGAUACUGAUCAUAGAUGCCGCCAUGAGCAGAGCCAGAGGAAGCAACGCUUUUCCAAAUGGGUAUAACAAGGUGAAGAGGAACUGGGAUUCCACCCGCUAUGUACUUGUAGAUAAGCGCUUGUAACUGCAGCUCAUGCAACUGUGCUGUCGUGAACACACACUUUCCGUGUUUGACCACGGGUUUCUCCGUCGUGUUCCCAUCAAUCCCGAGGCCCAACCUGAUCGACGGCGAUCCUUCCUUCCUCUUCUCCUUCUCUUCCAUCUUCACCGUCCCUCCCCUCUCCUCUGACCUCUCCCGGGUCCCACUCCCACCACCACCACCACCUGCAAUUAAGACAAGCUCAAAAUUAAUUAACCAACCGUAAUCCGUUCCAAUCCUUAAAUUUAGGAUAAAAAAGACAAUACCAGAAUCUGGAAGAGGUGGGCUUUGAACCGGUUGGGCCAGCAUUGACGACAUAGCAAAGGAACGACCGAAACCGGUGAUAUCAAUUACAAGAUUACUAUGCGUUUGUCUUUGAACGUCGCGGAAGAGAGAAGAUGGUACAGAUAUUCGUAAAAACUACUGAAAAGCGGACUUUCAAAAGAGAGUUCCUUGAACCUAAACAUGAUCACUUGCUCGGGGCCAGUUUUAUGAGGGAGCGACGAGUGUGAGUGUGUGUGACAUAAAGUCAGGAUUAAAGCGCGUGUCAGGAUUCUGACAACAUCAGCCCUUUUUCGCAGUCUCCGCAGGCAAAAUUCAGCUUCUUUAACAUGCUUACAAAGGUCAAAUCCAACUCUCACAAUUCGGGUGUGACAUGGACGGUCCAAUGAAACUUUGAAAGAGCCGGUGCUGUUUGCAGACGGUAACAAAAGUUGGUAGGUUUGUGUCACGCGCACUGUCAGAUCGAUUCCCUGGCACUAGCAAUGAGCAGAGGAGGACACGUCACUGAUUUCAGUUAUGGUGGGUCCCACACUAAAGCAAGGCUUUGCUAGCUUAGGUGGGGCCCCGGUUCUGCACGGUCAUCAGACAGGUGGAUUGUUGGAAGUGCCACCAAGUGUUUGAUGGUUGCUUAUUCGUCUUGUCGUUUGUUAUUGUUUGGGUUCAAUGACAGUUUGCUUUUAAAGCCCAUAAAAUUUCAACUGAUCUUUAGUCCAAAAUUAAUUGGAUUUGAAGUUCGGCCUAGUAAUUAUUGAAAAGAGUAAGUUCAAUCCAAACAACCCUCCAGGAUAGCUUGGCCCAGCACUAUAUUCCCUUCCUCAAACAUACUACUAGAUAUGAUUCAUUGCAAAUUACAAGUUCUAUGUUUUUUAUAUGAAAGUAGGAUAACGAUAGGAUCCAACUAAUCUAAGCAUGCAAAUAUGAGAUUAUUAUUAUUAAUUUAAAUGUAAAUAUUAUCACAUGAAUCAAAAAAUUUUAUACAAUCUUAACUAAAAAUACUCGAAAUUAGAAACAAUAUGAUACCCACAAAAAUUUGUCUAGUCUCAUCAAUCAAGAUAACUACUAUCUUUUAUACAUUUUGAGCUUUAAUUCAUUGGGUAAGACGAAAAGGGAACUCAUGUUGAUACAAGUGAUGUCAGAUGACAUUACCGAAGUGUUAAAAUUUUCUAUUAAUUAUAUUAUUUAUUUAUAGUUUUAUGUAGUUAAUAAUAUUAAUAAAUUUAUUAAUUUUUUAAUUAUUGUUAUUAUUUUAGUUAUAAUAUUUUUCUUGAAUACACUCCUGAUAAGAUAUGGUAUUUUUGUUUGCGAGCUGUGGGUUCUCUCUUCUUUCCUAUCUCCCCUCACAGCGGUCGGUGAAAAUACAAAAAUCCCACCUGGAAAAUUUUCCUUUAGAAAUUGCUCUUUUUUCCUGGCAUCUGCACGUGCAUAAAAACAGUUGCAUCCAACCCCAGUUCAACUUCCAUGCAAAAAGUUCUCCAGUUGUCACCACGGGUGGAGGCAGACAACGAGAGGACCCAGCUAUGUUUCUUUGAAAUCUUUAAUGGAGCAACAUUGUCAUUUGCCACGUAGCAUUUUCAACGGGAAAAACAGCCUUUGCACAUUCCUCCUUGUUUUAUUUUAACAGUGUGAUGCUACUUUGUUGCCGACAAAUUUAAGUUGCCGAAAAUAAGUGAAUCACCCUAUUAUCACAUUCUGUGGUACAAACCAAAUAUAUAUCUCGUGGCUACAAACAGCUAAUUGCCUUCCUCCUUAUUUUAGGAGUAUAAUAUCUAAAAAUUCUCAAAUUAUAAAAAUAAAUAAAUCAAUCUUUAAUUUUUUAUUACAUUUAAUUGAUCUUUUACAUUUUCAUUUUAUGUUGAACACGCCUUUAUUAGUUAUUUUAUUAGUAAAGAUGAUAAUAUUUUUUUUAUAUUAUAUAAUACUAAUGUGACUUAUUCACUUAUUACAAUAAAUAAUGAUGUAAUAUGAUGAAAUAGUCAUGUAACAAUCUCACACUCUACUCUUAUCAUGAUAUAACAUGAUAAAUUUCAUUUUAAAUAAUAACAUAAAAUUUUAUUUGUUUAAAAAAUAUAUAAUAACUUAAUUAAAUAUAUAUCUUAAUCCGUAAAUUACCUUUGCAAUCACCCGGCCAUUGCGUUGAUGCUAAAGGGACAUAUGUCAGCAGGUGAAAAAUAUUAGUUCCCACUUUAGUUUUGUCAAAAGGUUAAAUCUUGUGAAUGAAGAAAUAUAUAUAUAUAUAUAUUAUCAUUCACUUUCUCACCGCACGAGAAGGAAAAGAAGAAAAAAGAUGAGAAAUUGAUAUUCUUAUUGUGCUCGUUUGUUUACAGCUGAAAGGGAUUUGAUUGCCUUGCUUCAAUUUGAGGCAUGCAAAGAUGCCCCCAUCAGUAACUGCAUUAUUGCCUCUAAAACAACUUCAUGUUACUCUAAAAAAGUCUAACCCCCAAAAGGGUAAGAGUAGGAGACAUUAAAGUUCACCUGCAGAGUUAAAAGCCUGAUUAAUUAACGCAUUUGAGUUUUUUUCUAAAUCAUAUUGUGAUUUCUUUUUCCUCUGUCUGUAUUUUAUGAAUAAUUUUUGUUCUCAUAAAGUUAUUCGUUUAAUUUCGUCUACUAAAAACAUUAAAAUAUUUUUAAUUUAAAAUUAAUUUAUUUAUUCACAUUUUAAGAUAUAUUUAUAAUUUUACUAUAUAAAAUUCAUAGGUUAACCUCUAAAGAAAAUGUCAGUAAAAUUUACGGAAAAAAAAAAAGAAAAUGGAAAUGAGGAGAAGGAAUGAUUGUUUGUCUGCUACUAUUAUAGUUUAGUCUAUUAACAGAAUUGAAAUGAAAAAGGAUGGUAGCUAGCAUUGAAGUUAUGCACUAUUGGUAAAAGAGAAGGCUGAUAGAUGUUUUCUUUUUUUUAGUAAAGGGGAGAACAUUAUGUUUAUGAGAUGCUGAGGGCCACGCAAACAAGAGACCAAAAGGACAAAUUAAGUUGCAGAAUAUUGAUGACUGAGGGAAUCUGAAGAUUAUGGCUGGGGUGUGGGAAGUGGCGUGGGGUACAAGCUUAUAAAAGGGGGAUCCUCUGGAUCAAUCAUGAUUGCUUUGCUGGCAUCAAUUUCAUUAAUAAAAAGGAUUUAUAUUCCAUAAACUAAGUGAACGCUGUCACUGUCUUUAUCAUUUAAUAUCAGAAUAUCAUUUUAUAUAUGUGGAAAAGUAAAUAUUUAAAAAAUUUUCAAUAUAAAAAUUUAUUUGUUUUGAUUUAAAAUAUUUUUUAAAAAAAUGUUAACUUUUAAAUUUAUUUAUUAAUAAUAAGAUAAUAUUUGAUUUAUUGAAAAUAUAUAAAAUUUAUAAAUCGAUAAUGUAUUAAAUAUAAAUAAAAAAAUUCUUUUGAUAAAUCACUUUGCUAUGAUCUAUUAAUACUAUUAGUUGUAUUAUAUUCCAUAAAUUGUUAAUGUGUUUUAUGUAAACACUAUCACUCAAUUACAUAGUAUCACUUCCCUUUGUAAAUAUGUAAAGAUAAAAUUUUAAAUUUAUGAAUAUAUUUGUUUAAAAUUUAUAAUUUUUAAAUUUAUUUAUUAAUAACACGAUCACAUUUGAUUUAUUGAUAAUGUAUAAAAUUUAUAAACAGAUAGUGUAUUAAAUAUAAAUAAAAAAUCAUGAAAUUUGUUUACCGUAAAAUUAAAACAGUCACAAAUUAUCACUCACAUUGAAUGAAAAUGAUUUUAUUAUCAUCAAUUAAUAUUACAUUUUAAAUUAACUGUUUAUUAUUAUUUUUAAAACUCAUGAGAAAAGAAUUAUUUUCAAAACUUUUAGUCGAGAUGUUAGUAAAUUAAAAUUCAACGAUUCAUAAAAGUUAACCCGUCAGAUCAUAAUUUCAUAGUUAUAAAAAAUGGAUUCCAGAAUAAAUAAGUAAUUAAUUUUUUUGGAUAGGAAAGUACUUAUUAAAAGUAAAUAAAUAAAUAAUAAUAUGAUAAUGUUUUAGUUGAUCAUGAAUAAUAAUUUAAUACUAUAGUAAGGGGUAAGUAUUGAGAACUAAGAAGCAGACUCCCGUUAUAAAUGUUCUCUUCCGUUGCCAAUUUAGGUAGGGUUCGAACUUCUUCACAGCAGGCAGGUCAAGAUGGAUUUCAUCUUCAGAUGAAGUUUCGAAAGUUCAAACUCAACCACGCAUAGACCAUUGGUUGAACCAACGUCGACGAGUAACCAGGCAAAGCGACGGCACGUCCUUUGGGUUAAUAGCCGUUAUAUGCCCGUUUUCACCAAUCAUCAGUCAUUACCAUCGUAACGGAUAGCUUCAAUGAUGGCAUAAUCGAAAAGCCGACGUCCAUUCUUGUCAAUUCACCUCCAGAAAAGGAGAAAAAUAUGCAUACAAGCAUUUCACCCGCAAAACCCUUCACAUUUCCAGCUGUGACCAAAGCACGCCUGCCCCCCUUCACGUGGCCCCAUCCUUUCCAACUAACUGAACCCUGGUUAAAAUCCUAACCCUCUCUUCAGCCCUCCUCCAAAAUCAUUCCUUUUUAGCUCUUCUUUGUUCUUCCACACGGACUCUCACUCUCUGCUUCUUAACUGGCUGAGCUCCGCCGAUCUCUUCAACGUUCACGAUGGGCGCAUUUCACCCACUCAACCUCUUCCUUUUCACACUCUCUUUAGUUGCUAUUACAGCCCAUGCCCACAAUAUUACUGCCAUUCUCGAAGGCUUCCCGGAUUACUCUGUUUACAACAGCUUCCUCUCCCAAACAAAGCUAGCCGAUGAGAUCAACAGCAGAGAAACAAUCACUUGCCUUGUCCUCAGCAAUGGGGCCAUGUCUGCCCUCACGGCCAAACAUCCCCUUUCCGUCAUCAAAAACAUCCUUAGCCUUCACGUUCUUCUAGACUACUAUGACCCGCAAAAGCUCCACCAAAUCUCUAAGGGCACUACCCUCACUACCACUCUUUACCAAACCACCGGAAAUGCCCCUGGAAACCUGGGUUUUGUCAACAUCACCGAUCUCCAAGGUGGAAAAGUCGCCUUCGGCUCCGCCAUUCCCGGGUCCAAACUCGACUCCUCUUACACCAAGUCCGUUAAGCAGAUUCCCUACAACAUCUCUAUCAUUGAGAUCAGCGCUCCGAUUAUUGCUCCGGGGAUUUUAACUGCUCCUGCCCCGUCGGCUUCCGACGUCAACAUCACCGGUUUGCUCGAAAAAGCAGGCUGCAAGACUUUUGCUAGUUUGCUUAUCAGCAGCGGCGUGCUUAAGACUUAUGAGUCCGCGCUUGAUAAAGGUUUGACCAUUUUUGCGCCGUCUGAUGAAGCUUUUAAAGCCGAAGGUGUUCCUGAUCUGAGCAAGCUCACGAAUUCCGAUCAAGUCACGCUUCUACAGUACCACGCCUCGCCAGAGUACAAGCCUAAGGGGACAUUGAAGACGACGAAAGAUCCGCUCAAUACAUUGGCCACAAGCGGUGCUGGAAAGUUCCAUCUGAAAGUUACGACAGCCGGCGACUCUGUCACUCUUCAUACUGGAGUUGGCUCAUCCAGAGUCGCCGAAGCGGUUUUCGACUCACCACCAGUUGUCAUUUUCACCGUCGACAACGUCUUGCUUCCUUCUGAGUUAUUCGGCAAGUCUCCAUCCCCAGCACCUGCCCCGGAGCCAAAUUCUUCUCCUUCACCGACACCAUCUGUGUCUCCAAGUCCAGCUCCAGCAUCCGAAGCACCAUCGCCGCUGGCCGCUUCACCACCAGCUCCACCAACGGAAACUCCCGCCGGAUCACCGGCCGAAGGGCCAGCUGGUUCGUCAGAGAACAGCACCUCGGAUAAUUCUGCUGGUCACGUGAGUGCUCCUCUGUUGCGCACUGUUAUUUUCACUGUCUUUGCCACUGUCGUUUUCUCGGCUCUCUUGUCCUGAACCGUAAUUAUGCCGGUCUGUUAAUUUGUUCUUUUCUUAUUAGUUUUUUUUUUUCUUCGAGUUGUUAUUUAGAGAGGGUUUUUUAUUUUUAAUUUAUUUUGGAUUUUUAAUUAAUGGGGUGUUGGGAAUUGAGAGGGAAGGUGAGACGCAGCUGCGGACUUUGGCAGCAACUGGGUGUGAAGCGGAAUACUGGCACGGUGUUUUCACCUAAACAUUUUUUUUCUUUGUAUUAAUUACAUUUUCCUUAGUGUUUGUUUAUUUAAUCAAUUUUUGCUGUGAGGUUUAAGGAUUAGAUUAGAUUAUUGCAAUUAGCUACUGUGAUGGAAGUGAGAAUUAGGAAUGGGGACUGUUAGCGCACGUGGAUGGCUCCACUUUUCAAUUCUGUAGGGACCAUGGAUUUUAAAAAGAUUUGGGUUUUUAUGUCUGGUCCAUGUCCCCCACGCCCAUAGAAAUAGAGUGGGGUUUUAUUUCUGGCAAAUAUUGUUGUUCCAAAUGCUGCAAUUUCUGGACGUAAAUGGGAGAGUGAGAGCCUUCAAUGUUGUGCCAGUAGGAAAGCUGUGAGUGGUCCUGUUCUGGGCCCGAAACGUUUUUUAUUCUUGCAAGUUUCGGGGUGUGGAGUGGAUACGGGAUUGAAUGAAUUGCACUGCCACGUCCGGAAAGCCAAUUCUCUCUCGUGUUUCCUGACCCAAUUCCGUCAGGCUUUAAACCAUGAAAAAUCUUCCCCGGCACUGAGAAGCCUAGUGGGUUGUUCUAACGCAUUUGACCUUGUCAUAUCCGAAACUUAGUGAAGAAAAAGAAAAAAGUAACGGGUGGGGUGUCAAAACUGGGGUUUCACCGCACAUUCGUCGGGCCGGCUGCAUAAAGAGUACGGUGACAAAACACUCAAAUGGGCUUCCAACGGUAAGCCUUACUGGUGCCGAUGUGAUGGCAAUACGAUGAACACAAUAACCUCACCGCAGUUGCACAAAAUAUGUUCAGUAUGAUUAAUGCCAGUUAAAUCAUUGAGUUGAACAUUAUCUCCAAAGUCAAACGCUUAUCAGGAAGUUAUUGUCCAGGUGAGAAGGCAAGAAUAAUUUUUAAAGACACGUGGCAUGUGCACUGAAAACUUUGAUUGUUUUGGGUGCGAGAGAAAACACACAUAAGUUUAGGAUGAGCAAUGAUGGCACCCACUCCUAUGAUAAAGCUACACAACCUCCAUUGCCAUUUUGUCGGUGAGCUACUAUGAACAACUUCAAAAUGUCGUACAUAAAAGUGUGUAAGUAAUUUCCGAAUUUUGAUUAAUUCAAUUUUUUAGAGUAAUUUGAAAAAAAGAAACAUAGAUAUUGAUAAUUCAAUCAGUUUUAAUUUUAUUAUAAUUAAUAAAAUUAACUGAUUUAAGAUUAUAAACACAGAUAAUUCAUGUUUUUUUUAAUACUUUUAAAUUUUUAUAUUUUUAUUACAUUUAAUCAAGUUUUUAUAUUUUUAUUUUAAAUCAAAUAAUUUUUUAUAUUUUUAUUAUGUUUAAUCAAGUUUUUAUAUUUUUAUUUUAAAUCAAAUAAAUUUUUAUAUUUUUUAUUUUAAAUCAAAUAAAUACUUUUAAUUAAUGAUUGACUUAGUAAAAAUAUUAUUUAUUAUUUUAUGUUACGUAAUGUUGAUGUGGUAUAUUAAAAUAUUAUAAUUAAUUAUGAUGUGACAUGUUAGCAUAUCAUAAUUGAUGAUACAUGACAUGUUAGAACUUAUUUAAUCAAAAAUAAAAGAAUGAGAUUUAAUCAAAUAUAAUAAAAAACAAAAUUUUAUUUAAAUAUUUUUAAAUAAUUUAAAAUUUUAUUUAAACAUUAUGCCAAUCUAAAAAUAUUCGUUAACAAAGGAAAGGCUUUCGUUUCGAUGGGCACAGGCCCAACGACAUAUUCCUUCUAUCGGGCCGACCGGUCCAAAAUCCGAAAGCACAUCAAAUCGGCAAACUCAGCCAACCAAGAAACUAAACUGCUUCACCAAAAUCCUGAACAGGAGGAAGAAAAUCGGCAGCCAUGGCGAGUGAGAUUCUUCCCGUCACCUCUGCGGCCACGAGCUUACUAGAAAAACGACAGCGUUCAAUAUUUGACCUCCCACCCUACUUCUUCGAUUCUUGUCGCUUACUUUCUCCUUCUUUAACUUCAGACUUUGAGUCACUCUCAAUUUCUGAGAACUCUUCUCUAGAAAGCCAAAACAACGCUGACGAUGGGGAAGAAAAGAGUUCCGUGAUAGGCGUCGCUGUGCCUAGAUGGACUUGCAACACCUGCAAGGCUGAGUUUGACUCUCUCCAGGAUCAGCGCUCCCACUUCAAAUCAGACGUUCAUCGUUUCAACGUAAAUAUCUCACCUUUUUGUUUCUUUUCAAUUUGCUAUAUUUUAUUUCAAAAGAAAGAUUUUCUCUUUAAUGUCCGCGAGAUGCUAUUAAUACAUAAUUGCCGAUAGAGAACAAUUAUUCAGUAUUUCGAUUUACUCCUUGAUUAUAGGUAAAAUUAAGCAUUGCUGGAAAGGAUAUUGUAAAGGAAGAAGAUUUUGAUGAGUUGACUACGCAGUCUUUCAAAGACUAUGAGGUUUCGAGUAUUUCAGGAUCUGAGGAUGAAGCUGACAGGGUAGCGUAUCUGCGCAAUUGUGCUCACAGGGGAUCAGUUGAAAAUAUUAGGCAGAAGCUGUUUAUCCGACUUCAAACGGGAGAGAGAAUUUCAGUUUGGAAGUCAUUAAUUAUGAACGAGUUGGAAAGUAUUUCAUAUGAGAAUGAUAAAGAAGAAUGGAAUGAAAAUGGUGGGUGUUUGAGAGAAAAUGAGGUGAUUGAGAGAUUGAAAACUUCGAUUCAAGAGGCUAGAGAUAAUACACGUUUAAGGAUUGUGUUGCUUUCAAGUGGUGGGCACUUUGCUGGCUGUGUCUUUGACGGUAACUCAGUUGUAGCUCACAAAACAUUCCACAGGUCUGUAUUAUAUUUUUUAUCAAGAGUCCUCAGUGCUGUUGUUAUUGUUAGGAUGCUAGUAAUAGAAAGCAAAGCAAGCAUCACUUUGUUUAAUGGAAUAUAGUGUGUUAAUGCGUUAAUCCCUUUUGUUAUCAUGUAGAUAUGUGGUGAGGGCCAAGGCUGGUAAGAAACAGUCAUCAAAAGAUGCAACUGGGAAGGCCGCACAUUCUGCUGGAGCUGCACUCCGGCGGCAUAAUGAACUUGCAUUGAAGAAGGUAUUGACGUAUUGCUUUUGUUAAUGUGCUGUUACCAUUCUGAUUUCCAGUUCUAUCCGUGUAAAAGAUGACCUGACUGUGUCCUACAUGAUGUUUUAAAUACCAAAAUGGUUUUAAUUUAAUAACCUUGUUUAUUUCUGUUAGUUUUAGUUCUAUAGCUAGAGGAAAGACAGAUGUUGCACUAACAUCACAUUAUAUAUAAAUUAUUGCACUUAUCUAGGUAAAUUUUUAUGAGUUUGUCAGACCAACACAAAUCAGCUAAUCCAUCUUUGAUAUAUUUUCCAUCUCCAAAUAAUACAACCUUUUGUUAUCUUUUAUCGCUAAUCUACAUUUUUAAGUUAUUCUUAUCUGCACAAUUUAUGCUUUUCCAUUGCUUGAGAGUAGGGCCAUUUACUUUUUUAUGGUUUUUCUUAAUAUUCCAAGAUUGACUGAUUCUUGUUUUGUAAAUAUUCUAGGAAAUUCAAGAGCUGCUUGCUUCUUGGAAGCCUUAUUUCGAUGCUUCCUCUUGUGUUUUCAUUCAUGCUCCUUCGACCAAUCAUCAUGUGCUUUUUAAUGGGGAUAAACCUUAUUUCAGUCACCAGUUCUGUGCUGUUCGAAAUGUUCCAUUGACUGUUCGUAGGCCCACCUUAAAGGAAGCCAAGCGUAUAUAUAACCAGCUUACGCAUAUUGCUUAUGAAGAGGAGGAGAAGGAAAUUCCACCAGGCACCAAAGAAGAUGUGUUGUUAAGUGGGAGCACCAUCGGUAAUGGCAAGCAAGACUCCUGCAAAGAGGGUUUAGGCUGUAGGGAUGCUUCUGAAAAUCCUUCAAUCAAUGUAAAAUCUGAUGUUAUAUCAAGCGAGAGUGAUAGUGAAGUAGUUUAUACCUCAACACCUUUGCAUGAAGCAGCACAAUCUGGAAAUGCGCAAAAAGUGUUGGAACUCUUAGAGGAGGGUUUAGAUCCUUGUAUUAAAGAUCAAAGAGGGCGAACCCCAUACAUGCUGGCCAACGAGAAGGAAGUCAGGAAUACUUUUAGACGGUUCAUGGCCUCAAACCUCGAUAAGUGGGAUUGGAAUGCUGCUAAAGUACCUAGUGCCCUAACUAAAGAAAUGGAGGAAUCUCAAGCGUCUAAGCAGGUAUUUUUUAUUUCUUUUUCUUGAUUUUGUGGCUGUUCUAAUAGCAUAACAGUAUCAGACUUGUUGGCACAUUAAUUUCCUUAACCUCUGAUGAGGUAUUAUGUAUUGUAAAACACUACAAAUAUUCCAGAAUAUAUGAAGACAGAAUUGUGUGUAAAAUUACAUUCUGGAUUAUGCAGGCUGAGUAUUGAUCAAUGUUUUCUCUCUUUGUAUAAAGAAUAAACAUCUUUAACUAUCAACCAUGAGAUUUUUAAAGUCAAUAGACGCACAUUUUCGUCGCUUCAUGUGUCUUAUGCUGCCAGAUCUAGCUUCGAAUUGUCAAAUUGUGCUACGUGUUUUCUCUCUCCUUCACCCAUACACCCCACCAAAGAAAGAUUUUUGGAAAAUUUUUAUCCAUUUUUCUUAGAAUUUAUUCUUUUGUAAUUAUUUGUCUUCUCAAUUGGGGAGCAUCUCAUCAUUGGAUAACUUGGUUGUUGCUCCUUGGAUAUCUUUAGGUCCUCUAUUUGCUGAUAUCUUUAUGUUCGAUUUCCACUUCUGAUGAACUGUCUUUGUCUCUCCCUAUAUGGUUGCUCAGGCAGAGAAAGAUGCUAAGAGGAAAGCAAGAGCAAAGGAACUAAAGAAAUUGCGUAGAGCCAAAGAAAAGAAAGCUCAGGUAAUAUUCCCCAUUAAUUAAUUCAGAUAUUGAGGAAAAAUAUGUAUCAAACUCCUGCUCCACAUUUCUUCCCCCCUCCCUCUCACCCCCCACCACCCCCCAAAAAAAAAAAGAAAAAGGAAAAUAAAGUAGAAAAAGAAAGAAUAUAGGAUUGUAAGAAGAAAAAAGGCUCCUCUUUUUAAGGCAAUGAAUUCUUGCAUCCAACAUUAAGAAAAAUAAAACAUGCGUUCAUCAGAUGUCGCUUUUUAAUUUGAUGUCUGACUUUGUUUACUGUUUGAGCUGCAUAUUCGGUUGGAAAUGAUUUUGAAUUUGCUGUCUGUGCAUGCAUAAAGGUGAAUGUCUUCCUAUCUGUCUGUGUGCAUCUGUGCAGGAGAAUGGAGGGGGGAAGUGGGACUUACAAUUUUUUAUUUUCUGGAAGUUAUCUUUGAAGAUUUCUAAGUGAAUUGAAUUUGUUGAUGUUUAUGAGGAAAAUUAGUAGUAAUAUAUAUGAAAGGAGUUAGUUUUUCAUUGCUUCUUCUGAGAAUUUUGCAUCAUUAAUUUUAGGAUAUUUCUCUCUUUUUCUUUGAUAUGCUUCCUUUUUUCCUCGUUUCUUCUAGUUUCAUGUUGUUUGUCACAUUUGGUAUUCAACAUAAUUGCUAUGUCAAUAUUCAGGCUGAGGCUGCCCAAUCCCAGAAUACUGCCGCAAUUUCACACAACAGGGCCACCGUACCAUCAGUUGUAAAGGGACAAUCUCAAACUGUUGGUGGAUCAUGGAUCUCUAAAGAGGUGGGAAUAAAUUUUUUGUUAAUCAUGAUAUGGUACAUGAUAGUAGAAUUUUAUCAGUGACAUCUUGGUUUGAAUUUGUUAAUUCGCUCUUCUGACCUUUCAGGUAGCCUCUCUUUUCUGUUAUUUUUUCACUAUAAUCACCUUGUCAAAUGAAGCAUCAUAAGGACUAUUCUAAAUGUUUUCCUUUGUUAUACUCAACCAGGAGGAACUGAAGAGAGCACAGGCUGUUGAGAGGGAAAAGAGAGCUGCUGCUGCUGAGAGGAGGAUAGCUGAAGCAGCAGCUGCUGCUGCCCGCGAUGCUCAAGGCAGUAGCACAACCGUUGGAUCAAGUACUUCACGACCCAAAAGUGGAGAAGCUGGUGAUAUUAACUGCUCCUGUUGUAAUACAUCAUUGGCUGGAAAAGUUCCCUUUCACAGGUAUAAUUACAAGUAUUGCAGCACAUCAUGCAUGCAUGUUCACAGAGAGAUUCUUGAAGAUGGAUAACUUCAGCAGUUGAAGUCAUAACUAUAUAAAUUUUUUAUUCCAACUUAGACAUAGUUGAAAUUUUCUUUAUUUUUUGAUUAUUGUGUCAUAUUUUCCAUAUUCACUUACAAAUGGAGUACGAAGUAUAAUAUAUACAUUGCUAGACAAAAUCUUUUCCUUUUCCCCUCUUUGCUAAUAGAAAAUAUCCUUUUAAUAAUCAAAUUCACAUAGUUUGGCUUCUCUCUGCUUUCGAUGUUAAGAUUAAGGAUCGAAAGAGUGCUGUUACUUGUCUUCAUGAAGUCCCUUUCUUCCUUCAUUUACUUUGCAUAGAAGAGAUCUCUGAUCCCUGUCAAACACAAUUUCCAUUGCUGUUUGUUCCUCCAACUUCUGCUUCUCCUUCAAACCAAUGAAAAUUUUGCACGCAUACCUCAUCUCCAGACCUGUAUCAUCCUCCAGAUGAAUGAAGAGCGUCUGUAGUUUGUACAAGAUUGUCCUACAAGGAAUGGAACUUGAAUAAGAUACGAAGCUCUGAUCUGAAUUUGCCCUACAAAUUUAUCAAGCUUCAACUCACAUAAAAAUGAAAUUAAUCUGAUAUCAGCUCUUCCUCAUGUUGCUGAUCAAGUCGCCUCUUCGUGUAAAUGCCGAUGAAAACUGUAGCCAUCAGGGAUGCACAGAACCCAACAAUGUUGAAUAUUAUCUGUCUGGUCGAAAGAGUUCUCUUGUCUUGUGUUGCCUCUGCAAUGGAGCGUAUCAAAAUCCCACUGCAAAACAGAAUUUCAGUUCCAAGUUACAGGAAGAAAACAGAAGAAAGCAUGGACCUAGCUAGCUGUAGUUUACAGACAUGGAACGGAGGAGGAGCCAACCUGUAGAGUGCAAUAAAAACUUCAGGCACCAUGCCCACCAAUGUCCCCAACAAGUAAGGACUAUAGUUGACAUUGGUAGCCACAACAGCAUAGUUAAAUAUAAUAUAAGGCAACGGGGAGAUUCUAAUCAGGGUGACAGCUUGAAAUUGAUGAAACCAGUUUCCUUCUCCGGCUAGUCUAAGUAUAGAAGCAUGCUUUGGAUGUCUCUCUAACAACCUCUGAAGUACAAAAAAAGUAGAAACAAAAUGAAUACCUGCAGUUAUAUAAAUUAUCCAGGAAGAAGAGGAGAUGGAAAGAAUAGUAAAACUCACAUGAAUUUUCCUGUGAAAGAUAGAACCAAGAAAAUAAGUUAAUGAUACACCAACAGAUACCCCAGCCAUGACUAGCAGGAAUCCAUUUCCAUAGCCAAAGGUCAUCCCAGCCACCCACAUAGAAGGUGUAGAGGGCAGACAUAGGAUUGGGAAUAGAGCUAAUGAAGCAAAGAUUAUAAUUACGAGCUCGAAACUGUUAAACAUAACUGCCUCCCAUUUUAUCACAGGGACAACAACCUGCUGUGUAACCAAAAAACAAUAACGUAUACAUAUAAACAUGAACACGAAACACAGAUAUGCCUCAAGCAGAAGUAAGAUUGAUUAGUUAAUUACCUUUCUCAAUGCAAAUGGUCCGAUAUAUUUGAUUGCAAGUAUUGCCAAAAUUGCCAAAGAGAUGCAAAUCGCGAUCAAGGAUAGCAGCUGCUUCCAUGAUUUGCCAUUGCCAGGGGUUUGAGGUAUGGGUUCUUCCUGCAAGGGCAAUCCAAAUCCAACCCCAGCAUUGCAAGAAUCUUCUUCUAUUAUUUUCACAUACUCCAUGUUAUAAAUUUCCAUUGAACGUCUGUUUAUUCAUAGUAUUGUAGUACCAACCUUGAUCCUUUAUCACCUUUCCACCUCCCAAAGAACCAAGAAUUAUUAAGACACAGUGUUCGGAAGUUUUAAGGAACAUAAUGCUAAAAACGGUAUUAUGCGAGACAUUCGGCCAUGAAUUCUCUGAGAUCUAUUAAGUUUUUGUGGUCAGUUGAAACUGGCUGCCAAAUUUAACAUUAGUCGACAGCUUGUUAGUAUUAAACUUUAUGGUAUCCUGUGUUCAUGUGUAUAGUAUUAAAUUUUUUUUACUUUUAAUCUGAGAAGAUGAUUUUAAAUACAAUUUUAGAAAUUCUUUUUUAUUUUAAAAAUAAUGUACAUCGUUGAAGUUUAUGAUUAGACAAGAAAAUGAUGGCAAAAUAAAAUUAGAAGCCUAAUUAUGUCUGGAAAAUUUUCUAUACCUUGAUGUAAUAUCAUAAUAAUAACCAAAGAAUAAAAAAAUUGAUAGUAACAAUUUGAUUCGGUUACUAUGCUUAAUUUAUUUUUGUGGGGGUAUAAUUUAGUAUUAUGGUAAGAUGAAUAAUGCUAGUAUGAUGAAUCAUAAAUAUGAAAUUUCUUUUGUAAUUAUAAUUGAUAAAAUAAAUAGUGCUAAGUUAAAAAAAAAAAGUUGGCCUACUGCCCGCAGCGCAUCUGAGUCCAACAGGGGUCCGGGGGAGUAAGCCACUAGGUGCGUGGAACCCACAUGGCUCAGCCUUAUCUAAGGCAGAGUCCGGACCGCAGCCCAGAAAUAUCUUUAAGAAACCGCCGUAAUUCUCAAGCCUAUAGGCCCAGAAACCCUGAAUCUUUCGAGGCCAGGGCCUGAAGAAGAAGUUUACACUCACCGGGAAUCAUUGCACAUUUAAAUACGCUUGCACAACCCAAAGAACUCAUCCACUUCCGAUUCUGACUUCUGAGCCUAUUCUUACCAAAAGAAAAUAUGGUGAGUUCUGUUUUGUGCGAUUUUUAUCGAACAUAAAGAAAAAUGGGUGCUAACAGUUAAUCGAUUCUUGUUGUUGCAGUCAGUUACUUUGCACACAAAUCUUGGUGACAUCAAGUGCGAGAUCUUCUGCGACGAGGUCGCUAAAACAGCAGAGGUUAGGACCCUCAUUUCCUACAAAAUUUUCCCAUUUUUUCCCCUUUACAGUGGUUGAAUUUUAUUUAUCUCAAAAAAAAAACACACACACACACAGUAGCUGAAGCUUCUGCUGUUGCAAGCUUUUCAGAAAAGAAACCGAGGAAAUGAUAAAAUAUAGAUUAUGACUAGAAGUUCGCUUUAGGGGAUGGAGUUGGUAUUAAUUGGUGCCCUGAAAGCAAGUUUAGAAGUUAUUUAUUUGGCCCUAAAUUUAUGAAAUUGGAGACAAAUUUUUUGUAGAUUUUGGAGAUUAUGAUUGUGUUAUUUUUCCUGUUAUUUGUUGAAGAGACUUCUUUAACUUUUUACUGUAUCAGCUUUGUAUAAUUCUGUAUAGGUAAAGCUAUACCUAUGGAUAUGGUUUUCACUAGCUUUGAACUU
rnacentral:lncRNA from 1 species